CUGCCACAUUUAUUAAAGAUCACCAUAUGAGAGAAAUUUUAAAUUAAAAAAAUAUUGGAAACCUAAACGCCAAUCAAACACAUUACAUAUAGCAAUUUCUCUUUUUAAAGUUCAAUUAUCACUUGAUAGAGUAUUAAGUUUAAUGCAAUACCCCAAUAAUUUUGCAGCUUCUGAUACAGAUCCCUCGACUGCGAAAAUUAGAUCAAGCAGAGCUUGCAUUCCCUGUAGUCAACCAAAAAAAAAAAAAAAUUACUAUGACUUAAAUUUUAAUAGAAAACAAAAGACGAAGCAAGAGUGAAUAGAGUAAUACCAAAGCAAAUUUAGGAUUGUUAGGUCCAAUUUGUGGACCAACUUCUGAACUUCUAAUAGUAGACUUAGGAGGAAGGAUUUGAAGAAGCUGCGGCGGCGGCGAAUACGCAUCAAGAUUCACACUACUCCUCACUUUGAGGGCCAAAAGAGUGCGGAGGCGCGACAAAGCUAACGCGUGAUUCUUGUGCUGUGAUCGGUCUUCGGCGGCCUGCGCUAUGACGCCGGUCAGUACGUGCCUGAGACGUACGGCGGAUUCGUGCUUAUUGCGGUGCUGACCGCCUGGUCCCGACGAUUUGUACGCGUCCAUUUCGCAUUCGCGAAACAGCUCAUCGUCGGUCAAUUCUAAGUAAUUCUUCGAAGAAGAAGAAGAAGAAGAAGUUGAAGAACAAUUGUCAUUGGUGCUGUAAAUUGUAAUUGCAAGACAAGAACAAUGGCUGAUAAUUCCCGUGAUGCUUGUACGACAGAAAGUUUAUAUUUUUCCUUCCGAGUUGGGGAAUCCGAAGCAGGAAUUGAGCGGCCAGCGCCAUCAUCAAUUUCAAUUUCCCUCACUGUGAAUGUGAUAAUCCAAGCAAAGCUUCGUUCUAGUAACACAUUCUUAUAGCAGGCCUAGCCCAAUCUAGCCCAGUCGAGUAAGUGAGCAAUGUUAGUAUUUUAUUAUUUUUGAACUCGCGGUGGCUCUGUAUUAUUGGCAAAAUACUCAUGUAAGAGCAUCUUCAAAAGACUCUUCAAAUAAGAUUCUACUUCAUAUUUGAAGAGCCAUAUCAAUAUUAAACACUCCAAAAGACACGUUAAUUUAGAUUCUUCAAAUAAAAUUUGUUUCUCACUCUUUGAUAUUGCCGAGUGAGUUUCUCCCUCUUCUAUUAAUAUUUUAUUAUUAUUUAUUGAAAAGAUAAGACUGCAAUAAUUAUUAUUUAUGUUUCUUUUAAAAAAUAUAAUAACAAUUCAAUUUGAUAGUGGGAAAGAUUUGAUUAAAAUAAUAUUAAUUUAUUCUUAUUUGGUGAGACUUUUGGAGCGGAUUAUAUUUUUUUAUACACUUAUUUGCCACAUCAGUAAGCAAAUUGAAAAUUGAAAAGUAAAAUUUAAAGACCCUUCUGGAGAUGCUCUAAGGCAGAUAAUAUAUUUUAUAUUGGAAUAAUUUCAAAAUAAAUGGUGCUUUAAACAGGUGUCCGAUUGUAAAGAUAUGUCAUAUGUCUAAUAAAACAGUGUUAGAUAUAAUAAAAAUAUAUCCUUUUAUUUAAAGAUGUAUCUAUUCACGGUUUUAUGCUUCAAUUUGAAAUGGUGAUGGUUUAUUUUGGAUCAGUGAUGAUCUAAUUCAAAUUUUGAUUUAAUAAUCAUAAAUGAAAAACUACAUUUGCAAUGUGUCUCGAAGCACCAUCAAUUCUUACCUAUAUUUUAAUUAAAAUAAGAAUGAAACUAUUGGCACUCAUUCGUUAUUCUUAUAAAACCUUAUUUCAAAUAAAAUUACAGUUAAGGGCAAAGAAGAAAUAAACACAUGUAGGAUUUUUUUUUCCCAACAAAUUACUUACAUUAAUAAUCAAUCCCCUUUUUUUUAAAUUUCUUACCAUUAUUUCUUAUCUAACUAAGAUAAAUUGUAUAAAUCUAGCAUAAUCUAUUUUUCUUUUCCUAUUUCUUAUUGAUUAAAUAUUUUCGUACUCAAGAUUACUUUCAAACUACAAUCUAAAAUAUGUGUUAUUUAAGCUAAUGAUUAGCAUUCAAACUUUAUCACCUAGAAAACUUUUUAAUUUUUAUGUAGGAUAACAAUAAGAUUGCAAAAGAGAUGAAAAAAAGCACAAUACUACUUUGAGUUUUAACAAUAAAAAAAAGAUUAAAUGAAAAACUAAAAGAGCGUCUUUGAAAAUAAAAGGAAAUUUUUGGAAAUAAAAUAAAUAUAACUGAAAAAAAAGUUUGAUGAGGAGACUAGAUGGGUGCCAAUAGUCCAACUUUUAAAAUAAAGUUUUAUCAAUUAUUGAUCCCUUUUUCUGCAAUUAUUAUUCCCCACAAAUAUUUCUCCAACAUUUUAUUUCAUAUACUUACUUCUACUAUACUCUAACAAAAGGCGCCUUUUUGAACUACAUCAGUUUCUACUUUCUAGAUGCAUUUUAUUACUAAAUUAAAUAAAGGCACCAUCCAUUGUUCAAUUUCUCUAUUUUUUUUCUCUAAAUCACCACUUUCUGUCAGCUCUCUUAAAAUUUAUUAAGGAAUCUAUGUUGAAGACCAUUUCAUCCUUAGUAUUGUGUAAAUGUAUAAAAAUACAUUUUACACUUUGAAAUUUAAAAUGACCUCCUUUUAGCACAAAAUUUUAAAACAAAUGCCUCUAACUAAGCGACAAAUUUUAGAAUCAUGAUAAGUACCAUAUCUGCCAUAUAAAAAGUGAAUCAUACUAUGAUAUAUGUACAUUUAUUUUGAAAAAUCAUCACGUAAAUAAUGGUUAUAUUGAAUCUAAGUAAGUGCAUAUCAUACAUGAAACAACCCAGCCCCGCCUCUCUGCUGGAUUCGAGGUGAAUCAUGUGAUCUUAUAUCUAAAGCUUGUGAAAUAAAUUUAAUUCAUGAAUGCAUAACACUAGUCUCGGCCUUUGUUAUAAACAUAUAAUAACAUAUGUGACUCAUUCAAAAAUAUAUUCAAAACUUGAACAGUUUACAUCUUACUGUACAUACAUACACUUUGGAUAUAUAUAUACAAACAUAAACAUGCUCAAAAUAUAAGUCAUGCAAUAAUGCGUGUCGUGGCCCAACCUCAACUGAUUAGAAACUAAACUGCACAACACAAAAUCCUAUGAAAAUCUUAAAGAAAUGGGGGUAAAUAGGAAAAUAGUAUACUUGUGGGUAAAUGAAUGGAUAUAAUUAUAUAAAUAAAUUAGCGCUCUAGUGCUCGUACAUAAUUGUAUGACAUAACUUCGCACUAAACGCAUUACACAAGCAAACAUGAAAUCAUAUAUUUAUACAUGAUAAAACUGCACCAAAUAAUAUCUAGGAGAAAUAACUCUUAAUACUCAUUGGAAUCAUCAUUGCACAAGUAAAGUAGGGGAAACACCUCUCAAUACUCAGCGGAAUUAACUACAUCACAAGGGCCGAGUAAUCUAACUCUCAAUACACAUAUAGAGAGCCUAUGGGGAAGGGUACACAUAUGGUAUCUGGCAAUCACAUCUCAUUAUUCAAUCAAUCAUAUAAUAUGAGUACAUAUAAUCAUGACAUGAUACUAAAUCAUACUAACAAGCAUAAAUACUUUGUAGGAUACAUAUAAGUAAUAAUAGUAAUCCACUCACAAAACAUUUUUCACUCCGAGGUUUGUUGGAGCUCCUAUAGAUUCCUUAAUUCUUGGAUUUCUCCUAAAUAUAGGGUUAAAAAAUUAACUGUUAGAAUUGAUAUAAAAACUUUUACAUAUGACAUAAACUAAAUCAUAAUUGUUCAAAUUUCUUAAAUACGUUACCUAUUGACUUAAUGGAUAUAGAUAUAACUAUCCAACUCUCUUUCCUAUAAUAUUUCCUCUCAAUUCCUCUUUUCAAAAUUAUUUUUCACUCUCGGUUUUUCUUUUCUUUAUUUUUUCUUCUUCAUCUUUUAUUCUUCUGUUCUUUUCCUCUUCUUUCUUCAUCUUUUCUUCUUUUGUUCUUUUCCUCUUCUCUUUUCCUUUUGUUUUCUUCCCUUCUCACCUUCUCCUUUCUUUUUCUUUUCUCUUUGAAUUGCUUUGUUUUAGUUUGAUUCAUGAAAAUGGUGACAGCUUCUUCAAUUCUUUAUAUAUAUACAUUGCCUCCAAUCAUGCAUGCAUGACAGGCACAUAGCAUGCAUGUGCUUUGCUUUAAGCCGACAGCUUGCUAGUUAGCCACAUGUGCUCCCUUUUGGCUUGCAUGUGAUUGAUUGUAUUAUUUUUAAUAUAUUAUAUCAUUUCUUUUAAUGAAGGAUGUAGCCAACAAUUUUAUCCAGCUAAACAUGUUCUUUGACAUAUAAUACAGUUUAUGGUCAAACAACUCAUAAGUAGUUGAAAUUAAAUUAUUUUUUAAUCUCAAUUUUCCUUUUCUCUCAAUUUUAAAAUACUUUAAAAGAUUUUCAAACAUAAGAUACAAUGGUAUACAAUUGAAGCCUAAUCCAACAUUGAAAGAUUAAAUAAAAUUAAUUUUCAUUACUACUCAAGAGACUUGAAAGGACAUUAAGCCAGCGUUUAUUUUUUAUUUAAAAUCUGAAUAGGUCAGAAUUUAUUUUUAGGAUACAGUAUUUAUUUUUCAUUCAAACAUUUUUUUCAUUUCGGUAAAGGUAACAAAAAUUUACUUUUUUAAUUCAAAUGUAAAUAUCUAAAAAUCAGACAUAUGUUAAAAAAAAAUAGCUAAUUUUUUUUAAAAAAAAGUUAGACUUCAUAUGUUUAAAAUCCACGCUAAGGAACAUGAAUAAGAGCUAUUAAAACAAAACAAAAAAGAAUAAUUUUGAAACUAAAUACAAUUAAUCGAGAGAUGAGGACCAAUAAGAUAAAUUCAGAGAUAAAAAGUAACAUAUCACCCUACUUAUUGCUGGCAGUUAUGAGCAUUAAAGCACAGAAGCCGUGUGUUGAAAAGUAUGGUGUUCGUGUGGAAUUUUCAGCUAAAAGUCUACAAAGCAGUUGAAUUAAUCAAUCAUCGUGGAGUGCACGGUGCUUGGACAGUGAGAUGAAAUUGAAAAAUUAUCACGGAACUUGAAGGAAGGUUCAUGGCAUCGAUUUAUUCUACAGAGUCACGCACAUUUGGUUCAAUAAUUGUUUUCAUCCGAAUCAAAAUCUCUCUUUAAUCAAUUCAACUGUUUCUGUUGAUUAUGGCUUCUUCUUCUCGAAACAACAAGAAGUAUGAUGUUUUUGUUAGUUUCAGAGGAGAGGACACCCGAGACAACUUUACUAGCCAUCUCUAUUCUGCUCUGUGUCGACAAAAUAUCCAAACUUUCAUUGAUGACCAACUUAACAGAGGAGACGAAAUUUCGGAGUCACUUGCAAAUGCAAUUGAAGCAUCAGCCAUUUCAGUUAUCGUCUUCUCAGAAGGGUAUGCAUCUUCCAGAUGGUGUCUCGAUGAACUUGUAAAGAUCCUCGAGUGCAAGAAAGAUUAUGUACAGAUUGUGAUCCCGGUUUUCUAUCUGGUUGAUCCAUCAGACGUGAGAAACCAAAGUGGGAGUUUUGGGGAUUCAUUUUCGAAGCUCGAAGAAAGAUUAAAGGUGAAUACUGAGAAGUUCCAGACUUGGAGGAAUGCUUUGAAGGAAGCAGCCAGUUUGUCUGGCUUUCAUUCUCUUAACAUCAGGUGAAAAGCUACUUUUAAUUUCGUGUACUAAUAUUCAACACUGUAAAGAUAUAUGAAUAGGAGCUGGGCCUAAAACAUUAAGCUACUUGCUAGUCAAAUUAAGCUACUUGCUAAUCAAAUUAAUUUCUUUCAAAAUAAAACUAUAAAGAAUUGGGUAUUUUUCUUUUUUCUUUUUUAAAUUUUCCAGAUGCUAAACUACACUUUUAAAAAUUUUUAAGCAUCAAAUUCUAGACUUCCUGACUUCCCAACUUUUGUGCUCCCAUAAUUACAAAAUAAUUUUGAAAGAAUUAAUAAUAAAAGCUCGAGAAUUUUACAAUAUAUAUCUAACAAAAUUAGUGGCGGUCUGUCGUUUUUAAGCAAUUGCAACCUCUCACUCAUAUGCCGCCAUUAUAAAAAAAAAGGGAAAUUAUCAUUGCACCACCUCUCUUUUACCUAAUGUUCAUCCAACCACCACAAAAUUCUCACAUGUUCUUUGCACCACAUUUUUUUUUUUAAAAAUUUGUAUCAAUUAGCCACUUUUGCACUAACAUCGUAAAAUAAUUUAAAUGAAAUGAUAAUUUUACUCUUAAAUAAAUUAAAAGACCAUUUUUAUUUUAGAAAAACAUUGAAAAUAAAAAAUUAUAAUUAUAAAAUACUCCUAAAUUUAAAUAAAAAUAAAUCCCAAAAUUAAAAUUUUAUUUUUUAAUAAAUAUUAUUUUAAUAAAAAGUUAUAAUUAUAAAAAUAAUUAUAAAUUUUGGGAUUUAAUAAAAAUCCCCUAAAUUAUUAAAAUUUUGGGAUUUUUUUAAUAAAUAAAUUCAUUUAUUUUAAUAAAAGUUUACAAAAUUAUAAUUUUUUAAUAAUAAAUUCAGUUAUUUUUAUUAAAAUAUUGCAAAAUUAUAAUUUAAUAAAAAUAAUUAUUAAAAUUUUGUAAAAUCUAAAUUUAAUAAAAAUUGGCUGCGCACCUCUAUUUGGGAUUUAUGUUUAAUUAUAAUUUUUUAUUUUUCAAAAUUUUUAUAAAAUAAAAUGAUCUUUUAGUUUAUUUAGGGGUAAAUUUGUCAGUUUGUUUAAAUUAUUUAACGGUGUUAGUGUAAAAGUGGCUAAUUGAUACAAAUUUAAAAAGAAAGGUGGUGAAAAGAAUAUAUUAAAAUUUUGUGGCUAUUGGAUGAGCAUAAGACAAAAGAGAGGUAGUGCAGUGAUAAUUUCCCAAAAAAAAAAAACUCACACAUAUUCUUGUAAUUUAAGAGUUAUUAAUUUACUGGGAGAUUGUGGACUAGUGGUGGUAUAUAUUAAUUUCAAUAAGAAAACUGACAAUCUCCCUUAUUUCAUACUUAAUGCAAAUUCCUCGUAUUAAUUUGAAGUUACUUUGGCUAAUUUUAUGUAUUUGCUAGGUGUGAGUCGGAACUUACAAAUGAAGUUGUUAAUCACAUUUUGAAGAGACUACUGGAUGAAGUGUUUCAGCCCCGUGAUAACAAAAACCAGCUGGUUGGAGUGGAAUCAACAGUUGAGGAAAUUGAAUCCCUAUUAGGUGUUGAGUGGAAAGAUGUUUAUGCUUUAGGGAUUUGGGGCAUUGGUGGUAUAGGCAAAACAGCAAUUGCUAGAGCUAUUUUCGACAAAAUCUCGGGUGAUUUUGAAGGUUCUUGCUUCCUCGAAAAUGUUAGAGAUGAGUCACAAAGACCAGGAGGAUUAGCUUGCUUACGACAAAAACUUCUUUCAAAUUUAUUGAAGGAUAAAAAUGUGAUGCCUUAUAUUGACCUCAAUUUUAGAAGGCUCAGCCGCAUGAAGGUUUUGAUUGUUUUUGAUGAUGUGACUUGCUUCAGCCAAUUAGAAUCUUUAAUUGGAAGUCUUGAUUGGUUGACGCCUGUGAGUCGAAUCAUAAUAACCACCAGAAAUAAACAAGUGCUUAGAAAUUGGGGGGUGAGGAAAAUCUAUGAGAUGAAGGCAUUAGAAUAUCAUCACGCUAUUGAGCUUUUUAGUCGACAUGCCUUCAAACAAAACCAUCCUGACGUUGGUUAUGAGGAACUUUCAAGCAAAGUAAUGAAAUAUGCUCAAGGUGUUCCUUUAGCUCUUAAAGUUUUGGGUUGCUUUCUGCAUAAAAGGGAAAAAGAAGUCUGGGAAAGUGCAAUAGAUAAAUUGCAAAGAAUCCUCCAUCCAAGUAUUCUUGAGGUAUUAAAAAUAAGUUAUGAUAGUUUGGACGAUAAGGAGAAAAAUAUUUUCCUUGAUGUUGCUUGUUUCUUUCAAGGUGAGGAUGUAGAUCUAGUAAUGAAAUUUUUUAAUGCAAGUGGCUUCAACCCAGAAAUAGGAAUGAGUGUUCUUGUUGAUAAGUCUCUCAUUGCUAUUGAUUCAUACAACAAGAUAACAAUGCAUGAUUUACUACAAGAAUUGGGUCGGGAAAUUGUUCGACAAGAAUCAACUAAUCCUGAAAACCGCAGUAGGCUCUGGCAUCAUCAAGAUAUCUAUGAAGUUCUUACGUAUAAUACGGUAAGCAGUUUGUUGUGUAUUAUUAUUUUGGAAUAAUGUAGUGUUUAAAAACUUGAUGUGAAUAUAUUUACAUACGCUCGCACUCGUGAGUCUUAGAAUUAAUGGAGGAGUGGCAAUGAUUAGAAAAAACAAUAGUGGUUAGAUGACGUGGUUAGAUGACGUAGCAAUAAAUUAUACAUGCAAUGACAAUUUGCAUAACCGUUUGCAAGCAUAGUUGAUAUGUAAAUUUGUCUAUUACACAUGCAGAAUUUUUAUGUUAAUUAUUACUUGUGUUAUUAGGUUUCUUUGUGCAUUUGCAAGUAAGAGUUUAACUGCGUAGCAAUAACUAUAAACAUGAAUUAUUGAAAUUUGAUUCCAGUAAUGACAGAGAGCCCCACUCCAAUCCCACAUAAACUCCAUGCAAGAAUAAAUAAAAUUUGAAUUAAUAACUAAGCUACCUCUAAUUGUAAAUUAGUGACAAAAUUGCCCCAAAAAUUUUUUCUUGGUGGGGUUGAAGUGCAAUUCAUUAGUGGAAUAUAUAUAUCAUCUUUCAUUUGAUUUUAACUUUAUUUUUUUUAUUUAUUUUUAGGGGACAGAAAAAAUUGAGGGCAUCUGUUUGGAUAUAUCAAAAGUAAAAGAGAUCCGUCUAAAUCCUAAUACUUUCACAAAGAUGCCUAAAUUGAGAUUUUUAAAGUUCUAUAGUUCAUCAGUCAAUGGAGAGAACAAAUGUAAGAUAUCUUAUUUGCAAGAUCCCAGAUUUGCUGAAGUGAAAUAUCUUCACUGGUAUGGAUAUCCGUUGAAGUCAUUGCCUUCAAACCUUAGUGCAGAGAAACUUGUGUUACUUGAAGUGCCUGAUAGUGACAUUGAACGACUUUGGGAUUGUGUGAAGGUAUGCAUACCCUAUUAUACAUGUGCAAUCUUUCAAAUUACAACAUUAAAUUAUUAUACGUGGUAACGAUUUUGUCUUGGCCUCUUUUUUGACCGAGCAGCAUUAUAGUAAGCUAAACCAGAUAAUCCAUGCUGCCUGCAAUAAGCUAAUUGCCAAAACUCCAAAUCCCACGUUGAUGCCAAGUCUGAACAAGCUAGUUAUCUUGAAUCUAAGAGGUAGCAAAAGCCUGAAAAGUCUUCCAGCUAGAAUAUUUAAUUUGGAAUUUCUUAUCAAACUUGAUCUUUCGGGCUGAUCAAAACUGAAGAGGCUUCCGGAGAUCUUAUCAGGUAAUAUAAGCUGGUUACUUUUAAGGGGGACUGCAAUUAAAGAACUGCCCUCAUCAAUUGAGCUUCUACAUAGGCUCGGGUACUUGGACCUUUCAGAUUGUAAAAGGCUUAAGUGUCUCCCAAGCAGCCUAUGUAAGUUGAAAUCUCUUGGAGUUCUUGAUCUCCAUGGUUGCUCAAAUCUUCAGAGAUUGCCCGAAUGUCUUGGCCAGUUAUCCUCGCCAAUAUUAUUGAAUCUAGCGAAAACCAAUAUUGAGAGAAUACCAGAAAGCAUUAUCCAACUUUUUGUGUUGCGAUACCUCCUCUUAAAUUAUAGUGAGAGGCUUCAAUCCUUACCAAAGCCUCCAUUCCUUGCACGAGGGUUAGAUGCCGAUCAUUGCCCACUGCAAUCAUUAUUAGGUUUAUUCUCUAAGUUCUGAAUCUUAUAGCAGUGUCUUUUGAGCAGAGCAAUAAUUUUAAAUUGAAAGGUAAUUAUACUGCAGGAAUUGUUGAAGAUGCCCUGAGAAUUCAGCAUAUGGGCUAUGUGCUAGCUGUCCGUUGGAAAGAAAUACGGGAAAAGGUGUCUUUAACUCUGUUUCCUUUCAAUUUAUACAAUUUUUUUUUUGGGGUUUAAAAUUAUGAUUUUUUGGUAUAGGGAGAUUUUUCCACGGACAAGGUUCAUAUCGUACUACCUGGGAAUGAAAUUCCAAAUUGGUUUAAGUUCCAAAGUGUGGGAUCUUUUAUAACCUGGGAGAUGCCACCAGAUUUCUUCAAUAAUAGCGGAGUGCAGGGCAUUGCAUUUAGUGCUAUUUUAGCAUUUUCAGACCGUCAUGUAGAUUGUGGCAGAUGGUUUUCAUUUUCUUUUGAGCUCAAAGUGAAAACCACUAAAGAUUGUGGUCCGCAUGACACACGAUUAUUUCAGAGCAGAGUUAAUUAUGUAGAAUCAGAUCACUUACAUUUGGGGUACUAUCUGUUCUGUGAAGAGGAUUUUAAAGGUUUUUGGAAAUGCAAUUGCAUUCCUGAGGCUGUCCAAUUUAAUGUUUUUCCACCUUUGGAGUGCCAGUGCUGCGGGGUGAAAAAAUGUGGGAUCCAUUUACUUCACACCCCAGAUUCUAUGAAUUCAAUGUAAGAUCCAAGCAGAUGUUUCAACUGUAACGUAGAAGACUGAUAUUUUCAUGAAUCUAUUUUUAUUGUUUUCCUUUUUCUAAUGAUUAUUAAUAAUAGGAGAAAAUGCUAAAAUCAGUUCUUGGAACAAAACAUUCAUGUAAUAACUUUGGAGGGAUCAGGUGCAUGCAAUUACCUUCAAGGGAUUUGGUGCAAGCAACACAAAUUCACACUAGAGCAUAGAACAUUGCCUAUAAAUAAAAGUAAAAAGACAACCUAAAUGAAGGAGCACAUGAUUAUCUAUAAAUAAAAGUCGCAACAUUUUCUAUAAAUAGAAGUUACGCCAUUUCGUGAUCCAUAUAUCUUCUUGCACCACUCUUUUUUUUCUUUUUUAUUUUAACCCCUCUUUCCUAAAACGAAUUUCUGCAUAAUACAUCUAUAUUUUAUGCAUCAAAUCCUUAAUAUAUUAUUUUUUGCAGGAACAAUAUAUUAAUUUUCGUAAGCUUACAACAUACAAGGACAUUUAGGUUUGCUUUUGUUAGUGCAUAAUACAGGCAAAUAUACACAAGCACUUCAUUAUAUCAUGGAGGCAUAUUUGCUUAACUUAUGUAUAUCACUCAAUUGGAAGAGGGAGUAAAUAACGUCUUGAGGAAAACAAUAUUGUGUCUCGCAGCACUGUUAAUUCAUACAGUUUACUAUUAUGAUUAUUAUUCUUUGUACCUAUAAAGUUUCAUCAAUUAUAUUUUCCACAAUUAUUAUUCCUCACGAAUAUAUUUCCAAUAUUUUAUUUCGCAUAUUUACUUCUGCUACUAGUGUGAUAACAAAAGAUGCCUUUUUGAACUACAUCAGUUUCUAGAUCUAUUUUAUUGAGAAACUAACCGAACGCACCAUCCAUUAUUUAAUUUAUGGGUCAAAUAAGUCAAAAGUAGUUGAAAUAAAAUGUUUGUUUGGUAGAUAAUAUCGAUUUUUAAAAUAGUUUAAAAGAUUCUCAAACAUAAGAUACAAUAAUAUACAAUUGAAGCCUAGUCCAACAUAGAAAAUCAAAUAAAAUUAAUUUUCAUCACUACUCGAGAGACUCAAAGAGUACUAAGGUAGCUUUUUUUAUUAUUUAAAAUUUGAAUAGGCUUGAAUUUGGGUGAAGUCUUAACAUAAAUGUCUAAAUAAUAUGUUUAUUUUUUUUAAUAUCUGAAAAUUAAGUGACAUCUUAUUUUUUUAUAAUUUUUUUUAAACAAACAUGGUUAUUUGACAUUUUUGUCCUUAUAAGUCAAAAUGAAUAAAUGGAUUAAACUUUAUAGUUUAAGAAAUAACUAUAUUUAAUAGAAAUAUCUUUAAGAUAUAGUAUUUACUUUCCAUUCAAUAUAUGUUUUCAUUUUGAUAAAAGUCACAAAAUUCACUUUUUGUAUUCAAAUGUAAAAAUCUAAAACUUAGACAUAAGUUCCCCAAAAAACAAAUAAAUAAAUAAACAAGCAACAUUAAGGGAAAAAAAAGGUUAGGUAGCUUUUGUUUUAAACAAAAAUGAUAAAUAAGAUAAUUUUCAAAAUUAAAUACAAUUAACUGAGAGACGAGGACUGAUACGAUAAAUUGAGCGAUAAAAAUUAAAAUAUCUCCCUGGUCGUUGCUGAUAGUUAUGACUUGUGAGUGUGAAAGCACAGAAGCCGUGUGUUGAAAGUAUGGUGUUCAUGUGGAAAUUUCAGCAAAAAGUCCACAAAGUAAAUUCAGUCAUCGUACAGUCCACGGUGCUUGGACAAUGAGAUGUUGAAAAAAUUAUCACCGAACUUCAAGGGAGGUUCAUAGCAUCGGUUUAUUCUACAGAGUCACGCACAUUGGAUUCAAUAAUUGUUUUCCUCCCAUCAAAAUCGAUUUAUGUUGAAAAGCCGUAUGUUGAAAAGUCUGGUGUUCAUGUGGAAUUUUCAGCUAGAAGUCUACAAAGUGGUGGAAUUAAUCAAUCAUCGUGGAGUGCACGGUGGUUGGACAAUGAGAUGAAAUUGAAAAAUUAUCACGGAACUUGAAGGAAGGUUCAUGGCAUCGAUUUAUUCUACAGAGUCACGCACAUUUGGUUCAAUAAUUGUUUUCAUCCGAAUCAAAAUCUCUCUCUAAUCAAUUCAACUGUUUCUGUUUAUUAUGGCUUCUUCUUAUCGAAACAACAAGAAAUAUGAUGUUUUUGUUAGUUUCAGAGGAGAGGACACCCGUGACAACUUUACUAGCCAUCUCUAUUCAGCUCUGUCGCGACAAAAUAUCCAAACUUUCAUUGAUGACCAGCUCAACAGAGGAGAUGAAAUUUCAGAGUCUCUUGUGAGUGCAAUUGAAGCAUCACCCAUUUCAGUUAUCAUUUUCUCUGAAUCGUACGCUUCUUCCAGAUGGUGUCUCGAUGAGCUUGUCAAGAUCCUCGAGUGCAAGAAAGAGUGUGAACAGAUUGUGAUUCCGGUUUUCUAUCGGGUUGAUCCAUCAGACGCGAGAAACCAAACAGGGCCUUUUGGGAUUUCAUUUUCGAAGCUUGAAGAAAGAUUUAAGGAGAAUCCAGAGAAGCUGCGGAGUUGGAGGAAAGCUUUGAAGGAAGCAGCCAGUUUGUCCGGCUUUAAUUCUCUUAACAUCAGGUGAAACGUUACCUUUAAUUUCUCAUACUAAUAUUCAACAUUGUAAAUAAAAUUCACGCAGCACUCUUAGUUAAAUUUUCCAGAUGAUAAACUACACUUUUAAAUUUUUUCAUGCAUCAAAUUCUAGACUUCUUGAACUUCCCCACUUUUGAACUCCUAUAAAAGAAUUUUUGCAGAAUUAAUAAUAAAAGCUCCAGAGGUUUACAAUAUAUUUUAACAAAAUUAAUGGUGUUCUGUCGUUUUUUAAUCAAUUUCAAUCUCUUACUCAUAUACCAUUAGGGAAAAAAAAAAUCUCUUCCACAUAUAACAUAUUCCUGUAAUUAAAGAGUUAUUAAUUUAUAGGGAAAUUGGAAAUUUCCUUACUCAAAUCAAUAUAUACCACUUAUUUUGACUAUUUUUACAAUAUUUAAUAACUCUCCUGGAGUCCUGGUACCAUCACUUUGCAAUAUUAUCCUUAUGAAAAAAAAUAAGUGGUAUAUAUUAAUUUCAAUAGGAAAACUAGCAAUCUCCUUUAUUUCAAAUUUUAUGCAAAUCCCUUCUAUUUGAAGUUACUGCUGCUAAUUUUAUGUAUUUGGUAGGCCUGAAUCGGAACUUAUAAAUGAAGUUGUUCGCCACAUUUUGAAGAGACUGCUGGAUCAAGUUUUUUGGCGGAAUGAUAACAAAAACCAUCUGGUUGGAGUAGAAUCAAGAGUUGAGGAAAUUGAGUCUCUACUAGGUGCUCAGUCGAAAGAUGUUUACGCUUUAGGGAUUUGGGGCAUUGGUGGUAUAGGCAAAACAACAAUCGCUAGAGCUAUUUUUUACAAAAUCUCUAGCGGUUUUAAAGGUUCUUGCUUCCUUGAAAAUGUUAGAGAAGAGUCACAAAAACCGGGAGGAUUAGCUUGCUUGCGACAAAAACUUCUUUCAAAUUUAUUGAAAGAUAAAAAUGUGAGUCUUGAUAUUGGUCUUAAUUUUAGAAGGCUCAGCCGCAUGAAGGUUCUGAUUGUUUUUGAUGAUGUGACUUGCUUCAGCCAAUUAGAAUCUAUAAUUGGAAGUCUUGAUUGUUUGACGCCUGUGAGUCGAAUCAUAAUAACCACCAGAAAUAAACAAGUGCUUAGAAAUUGGGGGGUGAGAAAAAUAUAUGAGAUGGAGGCAUUAGAAUAUCAUCACGCUCUUGAGCUUUUCAGUCGACAUGCCUUCAAACAAAACCAUCCUGACGUUGGUUACGAGGAAUUUUCAAGCAAGGUAAUGAAAUAUGCUCAAGGUGUUCCUUUAGCUAUUAAAGUUUUGGGUUGCUUUCUAUAUGAAAGAGAAAAGGAAGUCUGGGAAAGUGCAAUAAAGAAAUUGCAAAGAAUCCUCCAUCCAAGUAUCCUAGAGGUAUUAAAAAUAAGUUACGAUAGUUUGGAUGAUAAGGAGAAAAAUAUUUUCCUUGAUGUUGCUUGUUUCUUUCAAGGCGAGGAUGUAAAUCUAGUAAUGAAAUUCCAUAAUGCAAGCGGUUUCUACCCAGAAAUAGGAAUAAGUGUUCUUGUUGAUAAAUCUCUCAUUGCUAUUGGUUCGUACAACAAGAUAAGAAUGCAUGAUUUACUACAAGAGUUGGGUAGGGAAAUUGUUCGGCAAGAAUCAAUUAAUCCUGGAAACCGCAGUAGGUUGUGGCAUCAUGAGGAUAUCUAUGAAGUUCUUACAUAUAACACGGUAAGCAGUUUGUUGUGUAUAAUUAUUUUGAAAUAUUCUAGCAUUUACAAACUUGAUAUGAAUAUAUUUAUAUCUGCUCGAACUGAUGAGUCUUAGAAUUAAUAGAAGAGCAACAAUGAUUGGAAAAAACCAGAGCGGUUAGAUGACAUAGCAAUAAAUUAUAAAUGCCAUGAUAACUUGCAUAAUCGUUUGCAAGCAUAAUUGAUAUGCCAAUUUGUAUAGUACACAGACGGAAUUUUUAUAUUAAGUAUUACUUGUUUUAUUAUGUUUCUUUGUGCAUUUGCAAUUAAAAGUUUAACUGCCUAGCAAUAACUACAAGCUACCUCUAAUUGUGAAUUAGUGAGAAAAUUGCCCCAAAAAUUAUCCCUAUGUAUUGUUGAAGGGCGAUUCAUUGGUGGAAUACACAUAUCUUUCAUUUGAUUUUAACUUUAUUGCUUUUUCAUUUAUUUUUAGGGGACAGAAAAAAUUGAAGGCAUAUGUUUGGAUAUGUCAAAAGUAAAAGAGCUCCGUCUAAAUCCCAAUACUUUCACAAAGAUGCCUAAAUUGAGAUUUUUAAAGUUCUAUAGUUCAUUAUUCAAUGGAGAGAACAAAUGUAAGAUGUCUUAUUUGCAAGACCCUGGAUUUGCUGAAGUGAAAUAUCUUCACUGGCAUGGAUAUCCAUUGAAGUCAUUUCCCUCAAACCUCAGUGCAGAGAAGCUUAUGUUACUUGAAGUGCCUGAUAAUGACAUUGAACAACUUUGGGAUUGUGUGAAGGUAUGCAUAUCUUAUUAUAUAUGUGCAAUCUCUCAAUAACAACAUUAAAUUAUUAUACGUGGUAACGAUUUUGUCUUGGCCUCUUUUUUGACCGAGCAGCAUUAUAGUAAGUUAAACCGGAUAAUCCAUGCUGCCUGCCAUAAGCUAAUUGCCAAAAUUCCAAAUCCCACGUUGAUGCCCUGUCUGAACAAGCUGGUUAUCUUGAAUCUAAGAGGUAGCAAAAGCCUGAAAAGUCUUCCAUCUGGAAUAAUUAACUUGGAAUUUCUUACCAAACUUGAUCUUUCGGGCUGCCCAAAACUGAAAAGGCUUCCAGAGAUCUCAUCAGGUAAUAUAAGCUGGUUAUUUUUAAGGGGGACUGCAAUUGAAGAACUGCCCUCAUCAAUUGAGCGUCUACUUAGGCUCGGAUACUUAGACCUUUCAAAUUGUAAAAGGCUUAAGAGUCUCCCAAGCAGCCUCUAUAGAUUGAAAUCUCUUGGAGUUCUUAAUCUCUGUGGUUGCUCAAAUCUUCAGAGAUUGCCCGAAUGUCUUGGCCAAUUAUCCUCGCCAAUAACAUUUAAUCUAGCGAAAACCAAUAUUGAGAGAAUACCAGAAAGCAUUAUCCAACUUUUCGUGUCGGGAUACCUCCUCUUAAGUUAUGGUGAGAGGUUCCAAUUCGUACAAAAGUCUCCAUUCCUUGAACGAGGUUGCUUGGCACUGCAACCAUUUUUAGGUUUGUUCUCUAAGUUAUGAAUCUUACAGGCAAUUUUUUUUUACCGGAGCAAUAACGGAGUAAUAAUUUUAAAUUGUAAGGUGAUUCUACUGCAGGAAUUGUUGAAGAUACCCUAAGCCAUAUGCUAGCUGUACGUUUGCAAGAAAUAUGGGUAAAUGUGUGUCUUUAACUCUCUCUACUUACAAUUUCUACAAUAUUUUUUUUUGGGGGUUUAAAAUUAUGUUUUUUUGGUACAGAGAGGUUUUUCCCUGGGCAAAGGUCAUAUAGUACUACCUGGGAAUGAAAUUCCAAAGUGGUUUGAGUUUCAAAGUGUGGGAUCUUUUAUAAACUUGGAGAUGCCACCAGAUUUCUUCAAUAAUAGCAGAGUGCAGGUCAUUGCAUUUAGUGCUAUUUUAGCAUUUUCUGACCGUCAUGUAGAUUGUGGCAGAUGGUUUUCAUUUUCUUUUGAGCUCAAAGUGAAAACCACCAAAGAUUGUGGUACGCAUGACACACGAUUAUCUCAGAGCAGAGUUAAUUAUGUAGAAUCAUAUCACUUACAUUUGGGGCACUAUCUGUUCUGUGAAGAGGAUUUUAAUGGUUUUUGGAAAUGCAAUUGCAUUCUUGAGGCAGUCCACUUUAAUGUUUUUCCACCUUUGGAGUGCCAGUGCUGCGGGGUGAAAAAAUGUGGGAUCCAUUUACUUCACACCCCAGAUCCUACGUCAAUGGAAGACCCAAGCACAUGUUUCAACUGUAACGAAGAAGACUGAGAUAGGUGUCAUUUUCACUCAACUCACCUGAGUUGUGAAUCCAUUUGCUUAAACAUGUAUGCACUUUUUCAAGUAUCUCUACCAAUUCCAUAUUUGGAAUGAUGCAUUUGGUUCCAUAGUUGAUGUGGUAUCGUCUAUGGUUAGAAUUUAUAUUUAAAAAAAUGACUUGUAAGGAAAGGAUUGAAGAUGCCUGUGAACUUAUAUUUCGAUUUAGAUUAUUGUAUCUUUUUCAUGUAUAAAAUUGGAUCCUAUCAUUCACAUAUCAUUGACAUGAGCAAUAUGGAUUACUAAAUCAUUAUUCUUUAUUAUUGUGCUGAAUUUGAUUUUUUAUUGAAUAAUUUGAUAUAUUUCUUGAAUCAAUUUGGAGCUUCUACAACAUGUCAGAGAUCAGUUUCUCCAACAUUCCUUUCGGCGCCAAAAGAUAACCAAGCGGUUGAAUAAGAAUUGAUAUAUACAACAUAAAUACAAGAGUUGUUUUGUCUUUUUACAAUAGGAAUAAUAUAUAAUGCUCGUUAAAACUUGCUGAUGAGAAAGUAAAUUCCUCAGAAAUUAAAUGUUUCAGCCAACCAAGGAAGCAGCUUUUCGUGGACCAAUUCAGGCCUGUCGUCAUGGGGGCAAUGUCCUACUCCUUUCAAUACAAUUAACUUCCCGUUUGAGAGUUUAGAAAGCAGAGAUGAGAAGUAUUUACCAACAGGUCCAUCGAGGGGUGUGAAUGGAUCCUCAUCACCCCAUAAAACUAGUAGAGGUAUAGAGAUUGAUGGCAUCAAUUGAACUGGGUUCGGCCCUGGUGGGCCGGUUACAAUCGAAACAAAUGCAUCAAGUGCCCCUUCCUCAUUGGCAGGCUCUCGUAUGAUCUGCAGUUUUGAGGUUGAUUCAUGAAUUCUGAGUAGCCAUUUUUGUAACAGGUUAAAAUGGCAUAUAAGAGGAGAAUAUUAAUACCUCAACCAGUGUUUCAUCCACAGAUUCCUUAUUUGCAUAAAUGGACAGUAAAAUAUUCCUCAGUGUUUCCCUACAGCACCAAUUUAUGCACAUCAUAGAGUUUUUUAAUUUUGACUCUAGUGUCUUGGGAUAAUGAACAAUGGACUGAAUAGAGAGAAGAGAAAAUACCUUGUUUCACACGCUCAAAUAUAGCAGAAGCAAUUGGCCUUUGCUUCAACAAAAAAUCAAUGAACCAAAGCAAUGGGAACAAUAGCUUGAUUCUCCAAUCAUCAACAAUUGCCUUGUUGUUCAUGCCACCAGCACAAUUCAACAGAACAAGCCCUCGAACAAGGGUUUGACUGGAUUCUUAUGGUAGAAAAUAUAGCAGGUUUAUCGUAAACCAUAGAUACCAAAAAGGAUAAUUACGUGCAAGUGUUUCUUUGCAAGCAAGUUGAAGAAUAUCUGAUGUCCAAGGGGAAGUUAAAAUAAAUAUACCUGAGGCAGCAAUAACACAAGCUAGGCUUCCAACCGAGUUACCUAUAAGCACAGUUGGCUUCUUAACAACUUCAUCCAAGAAAUCCAAUAUUAGCUGUAUCAGUGAAUCUCACUCAAGUUAGCAAGGAAAAUAACUAAAGGUCAAGCGAUUGAUGACAAAAGAUCCAACUUCUGGCUAGGGAACAUUGCAUACCUGAGCCCAUCCCUCCAUGGUAUAUGAAUAACCAGCUGGCUUAUCUGAAGCACCAAAUCCAAGAAGGUCAAUUGCAUAAACCGUGUAGCUCUUUGCCAGGGUGCCAAUAUUCCUGAAAUUACUUCAGAGAUGACAAGAAAAAUAUCAAUUCCUCACAUUAUUUAAUAGGAUAAAGGAAUGGUGCACAAGCAAAUUUUCAUUCCCCUUUUCAACGGAGCAGUAAAAUGAAUACUUUUUCACUAGAUUAAGAAUCGGAAAAUGGAAGAAGCCUAUAUCCAUAAAAGGGUAAUAUGAAAUGGAACCCUGAAACUCAGAUCACCGGUUUGUCAUCAUCUAGGUGCAAGGAAUAGAACUAGGUGUUAAUGCCAAUGCACCAGGAAAUAACGAAUAGAUUUACCUUCAUUAUUCUUUUGCUUCAUUCAUCUUAAUUAAUUAUUAGAAGUAUAACACAUAUAAAUGCAUCCCUGAACUUCAUAAUACAUAACAGAGUCAGAGAUAUUACAUACAUAAGGGAAAGACAUGCUCCAUACUAAAAAAAAAUAUAGUCGAAAAUGCCCAGAACGUAAUUUGAAUUGAACUCACAAUAAAGGAGCUACGUUUUUAUGCACCCAAUAAUUAACCCGCUACACAAUUCACAACAAGAAAGAGCAAUCUUAUCUCGCUAACCUGCGCCAGUGAGGAAUGGAGGCACCAAAGCCAUGGACAAGGAGUAGAGGAGGAGAAUUGGGAUGUGAAUUUGGAGUUGAAGAAACCAAGUAAUUGAUGGAGUACUGACCCUUCCAUUUCCACAUUUUGCAACUCUCCCUUAUCUCAUUAACCUCCAAUUCCAGUGCCGCAGAAGCAGAAUCCCCUCCACUGCUACUGUUAGUAUAACUGAUGGUAACAUUUUGUCUCUUCUUCUUCUCCUUAUUCCUCUGCUGGAACUGCAACUGAAACUGCCAACUCUUAUUGCUCAAUAGGGGCAAGCGCAGGCCUUUUACAUCUCCAUUUCCAUUUCCAAUCCUGAGUGUUGUUAUUGGAAUAAUGAAAGAGGGAGCCCGAGCCCUUACCAUCCACACGCUCAUUCUUUUCUUGCUUUUUCAAAUGAAUAUUUUCUGUGGCCUGGCUUGGCCUGCUCCUUCCCUGCUUCCACCUCUAUGAGACUACUAAAACUUUUUAUAUAAUUAUUUAUUGGGCUUAUUCCACUAUUAUAUGAAAAUUUUACUGAUAUUCCUCAAAAAUCAAAAUGAUAAUACUUCGUCUGAAACGAAUAUCAGGUGCUUUACUAAAAUACUCCGGGUGAUUGGUAUUUCCGUCCAAUAAUUUUUGCAAACUCAUUCCAUUUUUUAAAAAUAAUUAUAGAACAUACAUGCUAUGCUUAAAAAUUUUCAAACAAAGAAGAACUUUGUAGAAGGUAAAACUAUUAAGAAUUUACUUUAACUUUAAUAUUUUUCUAAUUUUGUACCAAACUCAUUGUUUCUAAUACUAUUUUAUUAGUAUGAGUUUUAAUCUUUAAUUAAGCUAAAAUAGUAUCUUUAGGGCAUGAUACUCGUGUAAAUUAUUGGGAUGUCAAUUUUUAUGUAAUUUACACAUAAAAGUAAAGAAAAAACAAUUAAAUUUUAUUUAAAAAUAUUAGAUUAUAAGCUAGAUACAUAAAUUAUUAGAUACAAUAACUCAUGUUUAUUAUGGUAAUUUAGUCGCUAUAUAUCAUAAUAAUAAAAUACUAAAAUAAAACUUGUAUUAAAGUUUUAUGAUUAAAGAUGGUCAAAAAACCCAAGAAAAAAAUUAAUAGAAGGAUUUAACUGAUUAACUAUACAAAAUUUUUAUUAAUUUGUAUUUUUUUUUUAAAUAUUGUGAAUUCAUUGCAAUUAGUUUCUAGAAGUAAGGUGGGUUUACAAAAAUAGUGGGGUGCAAAUACCCUUACCCAAAUACUCCAUAAAAAGUGAAAACUAUAUUACCUUUUUUGAUGUACUUCUCUUGAAUUUUUUAUUUCUAAGGAUAAAGUUUAAUUCAUUCCCAAAUAAAAUGAUAAUCUCUAAUUUGCUCUCAAUGUAAACCUCAAUUUAUUCUUCAUUUCCGUCCAAAAGAUGAGGGGCAAAUAAGGAAUGUGUUGAUGGUUUUUUUGUUUUAAUCUUUUUAACAAUAAAUGGGGUAACUUGAUAUUUUUAUACUUUUAGGUGAUAAAUUAAAGAUUUUCAUUUUAAAUUGGGGGCAAAUUAAAAUCUAUCCUAUUUCUAAAGGCACCACGUGAUUUGGCAAAAUAACUAUAAAGAUAUUUUGUUUUUAGAAAAUGUCACACAUGUCUCUUUUGAGAUACACAAACUCUUUUUUAGCUAAAAGAUUGGGAUUUGUGUGAUUAUUUCUGAACCAAAAGGUUUGUGUUUUAAAAAAAAUGAUUAUGUGACUGUUUUGCCUAACCGAGAGGGUCAUUAUUCAAACACCAAUCACAUUUUUGUUUUAAAUCACCCUUUCAUUUAUUCUUUAAGCUUCUUUUUUUUUCCCAAAAAAUGAUGAAUAGAUAUUGAAAAUUUUGUUUUCAUUUUUUUAUUGAAAAAAAUGAAAAACACCAAAUAUUACUGCUUCCUUGUCCAUACUGUUUUUCGUCCUAUAUUACCUUAAUUUUAUAUCGUUUUCUCUAUUUCUAUUUUUAUAGUCCAAUUCUGAAAAUACACUAUUAGACACAUUUUUAAAUUGAAAAACACCAAACAUACUGCAUCAUUUUCAUUAUAAGCAUUAACACCAGACGUACACAUUCUCCAGAUGGGACUAAAAAUGGUGACUCCUUCAGAAAUGAAGUUGUACAAUUAGUUUGAAUUGAGUCGAUACAGAGACGUCUCCAUUGCGUCAUCUAUUUAACUGUCUUGUGCAACCUUAUUCUGUACAAGUAGGAUUCCUCAUUGGCCAUGUAUAUGCAUAGUUCCUGGUUUAUUAACCCCAAAACACCCUCCACUUAAUUCAAGGUCUUAAAGAGAAGUCCAAUCUCACAGGUUCGUUAACAUUUUAAAGGUAAGUUUUAUCUUGUAACAUUCAUACAAAAUUUAUAAUCAACUGGGGCGGAAAUUUUGAAAAUACUAUGAUUAGCACAAGCAUUUCAACAAUAAAGGAUGUAAUAAAAGCUCAUUAAGUUUAAACUUGAAAGGAAAAUUAGGGCAAGGUCAUUUCUUUAAAAAGAAUAAGGCAAGAUGAUGCACGGCAUGAAAUACCUGUGACCAAGCCUCAAAAGAUUCAUCAAGCGCAGUAUUUUGCUUGCCCACGGCAUAAUUACACGUGGCUUCCCAAACAAAUAUCAGCCAUUGUUUGGCUUCCCAAACAAUGCAAGUAUUCAAUUUAACUUCAUAAAUAUCAGCCAGAGCAUAAUUACACUUGGCUCCCUGGAGCUCGGACAAUACGAGUAUUCAAUUUAACUGUACAUAGAUGUGCGGGGUUUUGGUGGUAAGUAAAAAGACGUGCCACUAUCAGUUGAGGAGUGCAUAAGAGGAUUACAUCUAUCAAAUACUAUCCGGCCCCCUCGGCCAAUUCUUCCAUGAAAUUUGUGAGUUCGUGCUAUAGUGCCAUUCCUCGUAGAAGAAUCUGACGGCGGAACAAUACCUGCAGCGUCCAAUUUUUCUGGCACAAGGGCUUUUGUGAACAACAAAACUGGCUCAAGAGGAUCCUGAAACCCCACAGUUACAUUUUCAAAAUGAUGCACUGCUGAUAUUCAGAAAUAAAAUAAUGAUAAAACAUUUUGGAAAGUUUACUUAAAUCAUUUUUCUUUCCAGCCACAGAUAGGUCAAUAAGUCAAAUAUAUGAGGAAAAAUACUAAAGAAACUGACAGAGGGCAGGCAGAAUUAACUACAAAACCACCAGAUUUAUCGCGUUUUUGUCCUGUUAAUUAAUUGUUUUCAAUUAACACGGUAACCCGGCUCGGGUGUUAACUCUGUUUCUGUCAGUGCUCUGUUGAAUAUUUCUGUUUAAAAAUCAGCACUCGCAUGUAAGUAGUAUGGCAGCAGCAAAAUCUCAUGUGUAAUAAUUAGGCUAUAUUAGUUCUGGGUCCAGGAAUCGAGAUAAUCAGAUUUGGUGCAAAAGCUAUAUGUACCAAUUUAUGUAGCCAUGCAUAAUAUAUUCAUUUUUGACUAGCAAAUUCUUCCUUUUCACAACUUUAGGUACAACUUUUCCUUUCCUUUUGAAGGCCCACUCCACUGGCAUAGAGAGUAAAAAGAGUUUCUUAUAAAUAAUUUUAGGAGGAUGCUUCUGCCACGACAAGUAAUACCAUAAACAAAUGAUUUCACCACAUUUCAAGAAAGCAUUUAACUUAUGCCUCAUUUUCAUUCUAGCAAUUUGCUUGCCAUUAGCUGAUUGGAAAAAGUGCAUUUAAGUGAUAGAUUACUGUCAACCUAUAGCACGAAUAGGGGUUAAAACAAAGUAAAUCCCUACCUUUACAUGUCAAAUAAAAGACUUUCAUAAUAUCAAAUAUCAAAACUCAUGUCUAGUAAAGGAUUCCCCAAUGCUGGCUCUCAAAAUUGCUUUUGUUUCAUGGAUGAGAUGAUCGAUUUUGUGGAUAUUCUGCUCAACUUGGAUUAUGACUUGGGUCAGAUCCCAACUUGCUGCAAAGCUCACCUGACUAAAUCUUAGUUGAUUUGCUUUUCCAAACUAAAUCCAAGCAAGUAAGUACAAGAGAUAAAAGCAAAAGUUCAAGCAUCUCAUUUGAGCCUGUCACUAACAAAUGGUCAACGAGCAAUGUCUAGCUAUGACUGAGCAACAGAAUCAAUAAACAGACAGACAAAAAAUAAUAAUCAAGUCAUCUGUCAAAUGCUAGUCCAUGAAAAUCAUAUAUAUAUAUAUGUAUGUAUGUAUGUAUGUAUGUAUAUGUAUAUGUAUAUGUAUGAUCAUUCAUUUCUCAAUCAACCACCAAAUUGAUGUCAACAAAGCCAUGAGGAUUGUCUCACAAGUCUUUCAAUUUCCCUCUCUUUAGGCCAGAGACCAGUAAACCAUUUGAAAUAUGGAUGUGCAAACCAGUAAAUAAAUCAUGAAGUUACACACUAGUCUGCUUUCGCACUCAUUCAGAACUAUCAAUGAUACUUACUGCAGGUACGGUGUAUACAUUAUACUAAAGUGAAGGCUGGAUCAAUAAGAAAUUCAAAAUAUUUCAUCACAUUUGGGGCUUGAUGAUGCCAAAGAAAGACCAUACCAAUUAUGAUGAACAGUAAAAUGUGAACAAGAACAAGCAUACAUUUAAGAAAGCAGAGAAGCAUCAUUAAAAUAAAGUAUUCUUCUUACUAUUCUAUGUUGUUGGAAAAUGGACCAAAAUAAAAAAGAAACCAUAUAUGGUUAACGUCACAACAAGAGUAUUUGUGCAUUUGUACAUCAGAGGAUAUCGGUACGUGCUUGAGACGUACGGCCGAUUCGCGCUUAUUGCGGUGCUGACCGCCUGGUCCCGACGAUUUGUACGCGUCCAUUUCGCAUUCGCGAAACAGCUCAUCGUCGGUCAAUUCUAAGUAAUUCUUCGAAGAAGAAGAAAAAGAAGUUGAAGAACAAUUGUCAUUGGUGCUGUAAAUUGUAAUUGCAAGACAAGAACAAUGGCUGAUAAUUCCCGCGAUACUUGUACGACGGAAAGUUUAUAUUUUUCCUUCCGAGUUGGGGAAUCCGAAGCAGGAAUUGAGCGGCCAACGCCCUCAUCAAUUUCAAUUUCCCUCACCGUGUAUGCGAUGAUGAAAGCAAAGCUUCGUACUAGUAACACAUUCUUAUGGCAGGCCCAGCCCAAUCCAGCCCAGUCCAGCCCAGUCCAGCAAGUGAGCAAUGUUAUUGUUUUAUUAUUUUUGAACUCGUGGUGGCUCUAAAUUAUUUGCAAAAUACUCGUAUAAGGAGAGGGACAUAUUUUAUGCUGGAAUAUUUUCAAUAUAAAUGGUGCUCUAAAAAUGUGUCCGACUGUAAAGAUAUGUCUAAUUAAACAGUGUCAUAAAUAAUAAAAAUGUAUUCUUUUAUUUAAAGAUGCAUCCAUUCACGGUUUCAUGCUUCAAUUUGAAAUGACGAUAGUUUAUUUUGGACCAGUGAUGAUCUAAUUCAAAUUUUGAUUUAAUAACCAUGAUUGAAAUAACCACUUUCUGUUAGUUCUCUUAAAAUUUAUUAAGAAAUCUAUAUUGAAGGCUGUUUCAUCCUUUAGUGUUGUAGAAAAUACACUUUACAUUUUGAAAUUUAAAAUGACCUUAUUUUAAAUAAAAUUUUAAAACAAAUGCCUCUAACUAAAGAAAUUUUUUUAGAAUACAUCAAAAGUACCAUGUUAGCCAUACAACAAGUGAAUCAUGCUAAGACAAGUGUGCAUUGAUUUUAAAAAACUAUCAUUCAAAUGGUGGUUAUAUUGAAUAAAAAUAUGUACAUAUCAUACAUGACACAAAUCACCUCAACCCUUCUGUUGGAUCUGGGGUGAAUCAUGCAAUUUUAUAUCUAAAGCUCAUGACAUAAACUUAAUUCAUGAAUAUAUAACACUAGCCUUGGCCUUUGUUAUAAACAUAUAAUAAUCUAUGUGCCUCAUUCAAAAAUUUAUUAAAAACUUACAUAGUUCAUAUCUCAUUGUACAUACAUACACUUCAAAAAUAUACAUAUAAACAUAAACGUGGUCAAAAUGUAAGUCAUGCAGUAAUGCGUGUCGUGGCCCAACCUCAAUUGAUCAGAAAUUGAACUACACAAAUCCUAUGGAAACCUUAGAGAAAUGGGGUAAAUAUGAAAAUAGUAAGCUUGCGGCUCAAUAAAUGAAUAUAAUUAUAUAUAAAAAUAAAUUAGUGCUUUAGUGCUCGUCAUAAUUGUAUGACAUAACUUUACACUGAACGCUUUACAAAAGCAAACAUGAACUCGUACAUACACACAUGACAAAAUUGCACCAAAUAAUAUACAGGGGAAAUAACUCUCAAUACUCACUGGGAUCAUCAUUGCAUGAGUAACAAGGGGGAAAAACCUCUCAAUACUCAGUAGAAUUUACAACAUCACAAGGGUCGAGUAAUUUAACUCUCAAUACGUACGCGUAGAGCCUAUGGGGAAAGGUACACAUAUGGUGCCUGUCAAUUACAUCUCAUGACUCAGUCAAUCAUAUAAUGUACGUACAUAUAAUCAUAACAUUAUACUAAAUCAUACUAUCAAACAUAAAUGUUUUGUAAAAUACAUAAUAGUAAUAAUAAUAAUCCACUCACAGAUCCUAUUGAUGAAGCACGCACGUGCUUUGCUUUAAGCUAACAGCUUGCUAUUGCUUUGACAAUUAACCCAUGUGCCUCCUUUUAGCUUGCUCGUGCGUCACAAUACAUGCAUUAGAAUUGGUUGUAUUCUCAUGGGUGAAGCAUGAAUGUGCUUUGCUUUAAGCUAACAGCUUGCUAUUGCUUUGACAAUUAGCCACAUGUGACCCGUUUAUAGUUUAGGAAAUAACAAUAUUGAAUAGAAAUAUUCUUAGAAUAUAGUAUUUAUUUUCCAUUCAAACAUUUUCUCAUUUAGGCAAAGGUCACCAAAAAAAAAUUACUUUUUUAAUUUAAAUGUAAAUAUUUAAAAAUCAUAUAUAAGUUAUAAAAAAUAAAUAACUAUUUUUUUUUUAAGUUAGACUUUAUAUGCUUAACAAUCAACCCUAAGGAACAUGAAUAAGAGCUACUAAAACAAAAAAAAAAAGAAUAAUUUUGAAACUAAAUACAAUUAAUUGAGAGAUGAGGACGGAUAAGAUAAAUUCAGAGAUAAAAAUUAAAAUAUCACCCUACUUAUUGCUGCCAGUUAUGAGCAUUAAAGCACAGAAGCACCUGUGUUGAAAAGUAUGGUGUUCGUGUGGAAUUUUCAGCUAAAAGUCUACAAGGCAGUUGAAUUAAUCAAUCAUCGUGGAGUGCACGGUGGUUGGACAAUGAGAUGAAAUUGAAAAAUUAUCACGGAAAUUGAAGGAAGGGGCAUGGCAUCGAUUUAUUCUACAGAGUCACGCACAUUUGGUUCAAUAAUUGUUUUCAUCCGAAUCAAAAUCUCUCUCUCAUCAAUUCAACUGUUUCUGUUUAUUAUGGCUUCUUCUUAUCGAAACAACAAGAAGUAUGAUGUUUUUGUUAGUUUCAGAGGAGAGGAUACCCGCGACAACUUUACUAGCCAUCUCUAUUCUGCUCUGUGUCGACAAAAUAUCCAAACUUUCAUUGAUGACCAACUUAAUAGAGGAGACGAAAUUUCGGAGUCACUUGUGAAUGCAAUUGAAGCAUUAGCCAUUUCAGUUAUCGAGCCUGUUUGGGAGUGUGGUGAGGUAGCUGGACUGUUAAAGCCCAACUACUAAGGUGUUUGGUAACACUUGUAGUUGAGUUUUAGUAGCUUAGUAGAUUUUGUUUUUCAACUUCUACUCUACAGCUAUAGCUUUUACUUCACAGCAGCUGCAGCUUAAAAGUUACAGCACCUCACUAUCAAACACACUCAUCUUCUUGUCAGAAGGGUAUGCAUCAGCCAUUUAAGUUACCCAAAAUUCAACCGAAGAUCCAAACGCAAGUUUCAAACUAAACCAACCCAAAGUUUGGGCAAGAGUCCAACGCAACCCAACUAAAACCAUUUUAAUUUAAUUUUAGUUUGGGUUGACUUAGGCUUUGAUAAAUUCACAUGUUGUAUACCAUAAUUAAAAUAAAGUAUCAUUUGUCAUACAUUUUAUACAUUAAACACAUAGUGAAGGAAAAAAGUUUCAAAAAUUCAGUGGCGGCAAACAUCCUCUCUGCAAUCUUUGUGGGCAACGCAUACAUGGUAUCUUCACUAAUAAGUGUUGAAUCUUUAGCUUCAAAGGAAAGAAACUAAAAAGGGUAGGGAUAUUUCCACCCCAUUACUUUUGUAAAUUUACCCACUUCUAGAAAAUAAUUAUAAUGAAUUCACAAUAUUUUUUUAAAAAUACAAAUUAAUAAAAAUUUUAUAUAGUUAAUCAAUUAAAUCCUUCUAUUAUUUUUUUACUAGAUUUCUUUGAGUAUAUUUGAUCAUAAACUUGAUAUAAAUUUUACUUUACUAUUUUUGUAUUAUGAUAUAAAAAGGACAAAUUGUACAAUAAACACGGGUUAUUGUAUCCAAUAAUUUAGGUAUUUAAUUAUGUGAACUAAUAUUUUUAAAUGAAAUUUAACUAUUUUUUCACUAUCUUACGUGUAAAUGAUGUAAAUUUGACAAGCUAAUAAUUUAUAUGAGUAUUGUGCCAUAAAGACAUUAUGUUUGUUUAAUUAAUGUUUUACAAUCAUACUAAUAAAGUAGUAUUAGAAAUAAUGAAUUUGGUAUAAAAUUAGAAAAUAUUGAAGUUAAAGAAUUAGAUUUACCUUAUAAGGAUAAAUAAUCAAUUUAGACUUAUGUCAAAUCAAUCUUUAUGAUCAAAUAUAAUAAAAAAAUUUAAGUCACAAAAAGUAAAUUAAAAUAGAUUUGUUAAUUUGUUCUCCAAAGUUCAAAAUGAGUAAAAGGAAUUAGGCUUCGUAGUUUAGGAAAUAAAUUUACUGAAUAGAAAUAUUUUUAGUAUAUAUUAUUUAUUUUUCAUUCAAACAUUUUCUCAUUUCAGCAAAGGUCACAAAAAUUUACUUAUUUAAUUUAAAUGUAAAUGUCUAAAAAUUAGAUAUAAGUUAUUAAAAAAAAUUAAUAUUUUUUUAAAAGUUAGACUUCAUAUGUUUAACAAUCAACCCUAAGGAUAAUGAAAAAGAGCUAUUAAAACAAAAAAAAAAGAAUAAUUUUGAAACUGANNNNNNNNNNNNNNNNNNNNNNNNNNNNNNNNNNNNNNNNNNNNNNNNNNNNNNNNNNNNNNNNNNNNNNNNNNNNNNNNNNNNNNNNNNNNNNNNNNNNNNNNNNNNNNNNNNNNNNNNNNNNNNNNNNNNNNNNNNNNNNNNNNNNNNNNNNNNNNNNNNNNNNNNNNNNNNNNNNNNNNNNNNNNNNNNNNNNNNNNNNNNNNNNNNNNNNNNNNNNNNNNNNNNNNNNNNNNNNNNNNNNNNNNNNNNNNNNNNNNNNNNNNNNNNNNNNNNNNNNNNNNNNNNNNNNNNNNNNNNNNNNNNNNNNNNNNNNNNNNNNNNNNNNNNNNNNNNNNNNNNNNNNNNNNNNNNNNNNNNNNNNNNNNNNNNNNNNNNNNNNNNNNNNNNNNNNNNNNNNNNNNNNNNNNNNNNNNNNNNNNNNNNNNNNNNNNNNNNNNNNNNNNNNNNNNNNNNNNNNNNNNNNNNNNNNNNNNNNNNNNNNNNNNNNNNNNNNNNNNNNNNNNNNNNNNNNNNNNNNNNNNNNNNNNNNNNNNNNNNNNNNNNNNNNNNNNNNNNNNNNNNNNNNNNNNNNNNNNNNNNNNNNNNNNNNNNNNNNNNNNNNNNNNNNNNNNNNNNNNNNNNNNNNNNNNNNNNNNNNNNNNNNNNNNNNNNNNNNNNNNNNNNNNNNNNNNNNNNNNNNNNNNNNNNNNNNNNNNNNNNNNNNNNNNNNNNNNNNNNNNNNNNNNNNNNNNNNNNNNNNNNNNNNNNNNNNNNNNNNNNNNNNNNNNNNNNNNNNNNNNNNNNNNNNNNNNNNNNNNNNNNNNNNNNNNNNNNNNNNNNNNNNNNNNNNNNNNNNNNNNNNNNNNNNNNNNNNNNNNNNNNNNNNNNNNNNNNNNNNNNNNNNNNNNNNNNNNNNNNNNNNNNNNNNNNNNNNNNNNNNNNNNNNNNNNNNNNNNNNNNNNNNNNNNNNNNNAUUAAAUAAAUAUAGUACUAUUAUUUUUAAAAUAAAUAUAAUAAUAUUAUAUUAUUAAAUAAAGAUAGCAUAUAUUUAUUAAUUCUCUAUUAAUAUAAUAAUAUUAUUUUUAAGUAAUUUUAACUUAUAAUCAAUGUAAAUUAUUAUUUAGUUAAAUAUAAUAAUAUUAUUUAAAUAAAUAUAAUUAUAAAUUAUUUUAUUUUAUUAAAUUAAAUUAAAAACAAAGGGUAGAAAAGGGAGAGGUGGGAGUGGGAAUUCAUGGGAGUCCCACUCCCACUCUUCACUCCAAAAAUGGGUGGGGUCCACGGAAUGGGAUUCCCAAUCCCUCUCUAUUCUGUUGAAGUAAAUACUGGAGUGGGAAGAAUCCACACUCCUCACUCUCACUCCAGAAAGUAGACACUACCUCAAUCAUCGUGGAGGGCACGGUGGUUGGACAAUGAGAUGAAAUUGAAAAAUUAUCACGGAAAUUGUAGGAAGGGGCAUGGCAUCGAUUUAUUCUACAGAGUCACGCACAUUUGGUUCAAUAAUUGUUUUCAUCCGAAUCAAAAUCUCUCUCUCAUCAAUUCAACUGUUUCUGUUGAUUAUGGCUUCUUCUUCUCGAAACAACAAGAAGNNNNNNNNNNNNNNNNNNNNNNNNNNNNNNNNNNNNNNNNNNNNNNNNNNNNNNNNNNNNNNNNNNNNNNNNNNNNNNNNNNNNNNNNNNNNNNNNNNNNCGCUAGAGCUACUUUCGACAAAAUCUCUAGAUAUUUUGAAGGUUCUUGCUUCCUUGAAAAUGUUAGAGGAGAAUUACAAAGACCGGGAGGAUUAGCUUGCCUGCGACAAAAACUUCUUUCAAAUUUAUUGAAGGAUAAAAAUGUGAUUCUUGAUAUUGGCCUCAAUUUUCGAAGGCUCAGCCGCAUGAAGGUUCUGAUUGUUUUUGAUGAUGUGACUUGCUUCAGCCAAUUGGAAUCUUUAAUUGGAAGUCUUGAUUGGUUGACGCCUGUGAGUCGAAUCAUAAUAACCACCAGAAAUAAACAAGUGCUUAGAAAUUGGGGGGUGAGGAAAAUAUAUGAGAUGGGGCCAUUAGAGUAUCAUCACGCUCUUGAGCUUUUUAGUCGACAUGCCUUCAAACGAAACCAUCCUGAUGUUGGUUACGAGAAACUUUCAAGCAAGGUAAUGAAAUAUGCUCAAGGUGUUCCUUUAGCUAUUAAAGUUUUGGGUUGCUUUCUAUAUAAAAGGGAAAAAGAAGUCUGGGAAAGUGCAAUAAAUAAAUUGCAAAGUAUCCUCCACCCAAGUAUCCUAGAGGUAUUAAAAAUAAGUUACGAUGGUUUGGACGAUAAGGAGAAAAAUAUUUUCCUUGAUGUUGCUUGUUUCUUUCAAGGCGAGGGUGUAAAUCUGGUAGUGAAAUUCUUUAAUGCAAGCGGUUUCUACCCAGAAAUAGGAAUAAGUAUUCUCGUCGAUAAAUCUCUCAUUGUUAUUGAUUCAUACAGCAAGAUAACAAUGCAUGAUUUACUACAAAAAUUGGGUCGGGAAAUUGUUCGACAAGAAUCAAUUAAUCCUGAAAACCGCAGUAGGCUGUGGCAUCAUGAGGAUACCUAUGAAGUUCUUACACAUAAUACGGUAAUCAUUUUGUUGUGGAUUAUUAUUUUGGAAUAUUAUAGCAUUUACAAACUUGAUAUAAUAUAUAUAUAUACGUGCUUGAACCGAUGAGCCUUGGAAUUAAUAGCAGUGUGACAAUGAUUAGGAAAAAAAAACAAUAAUGGUUAAAUGAUGUAACAAUAAAUUAUAAAUGCCAUGACAACUUGUGUGAUCGUUUGUAAGCCUAAUUUAUAUAUCAACUUGUGUACUAUACAUACAGAAUUUUUAUGUUAAAUAUUACGUGUGAUAUUAUGUUUCUUUGUGCAUUUGCAAUUAAGAGUUUAGCUGCCGAGCAAUAACCAUAAACAUGGAUUAUUGAAAUUUGAUUCCUGUAAUGGCAGAGAGCCCCACUCCUAUCCCACCUCAACUCUACUCAAGAAUAAAUAAACGUUGAAUUAAUAACUAAGCUACCUCUAAUCGUGAAUUAAUGACAAACUUACCCCAAAAAAUUGUCUUGGUUGGGUUGAGGUGCGAUUCAUUGGUGGAAUAUACAUAUCAUUUUUCAUUUAAUUUUAACUUUAUUCUUUUUUUUUUUAAAUUAAAUUUUAGGGGACAGAAAAAAUUGAGGGCAUUUGUUUGGAUAUGUCAAAAGUAAAAGAUAUCCAUCUAAAUCCCAAUACUUUCACAAAGAUGCGUAAGUUGAGAUUUUUAAAAUUCUAUAGCUCAUCAUUCAAUGGAGAGAACAAAUGUAAGGUGUCUUAUUUGCAAGACCCCGGAUUUGCUGAAGUGAAGUAUUUUUACUGGCAUGGAUACCCGUUGAAGUCAUUGCCUUCAAACCUUAAUGCAGAGAAGCUUUUGUUUCUUGAACUGCCUGGUAGCGACAUUGAACAACUUUGCGAUGGUGUGAAGGUAUGUAUAUCUUGAUAUAUAUGUGCAAUCUUUCAAUAAUAACGUUAAAUUAUCAUACAUGGUAAUGAUUUUGUGUUGGCUUCUUUUUGAUCGAGCAGCGUCAUGGUAAGUUAAACCAGAUAAUCCAUGCUGCCUGCAAGAAGCUAAUUCCCAAAAUUCCAAGCCCCACGUUGAUUCCACAUCCGAACAAUCUAGUUGCCUUGAAUCUAACAGGUAGCAAAAGCCUGAAAAGUCUUCCAGCUAGAAUAUUUAAUUUGGAAUUUCUUAUCGAACUUGAUCUUUCGGGUUGUUCAAAACUGAAGAGGCUUCCAGACAUCUCAUCUGGUAACAUAAGCCGGCUAUAUUUAAGUGGAACUGCAAUUGAAGAACUGCCCUCAUCAUUUGAGCUUCUACUUAGGCUUUCGUGGCUGGACCUUUCAGAUUGUAAAAUGCUUAAGAGUCUCCCAAGCAGCCUAUGUAAGUUGAAAUCUCUUGGAGUUCUUGAUCUCCAUGGUUGCUCAAAUCUUCAGAGAUUGCCUGAACGUCUUGGCCAGUUAUCGUCGCCAAUAUUGUUGAAUCUAGUGAAAACCAAUAUUGAGAAGAUACCAAAAAGCAUUUUCCAACUUUUAGUGUUGCGACGCCUGAUCUUAAAUUAUUGUGAGGGGCAUUAUGAAUCCUUAUCAAAGCCUCCAUUCCUUGUACGAUGGUUAGAUGCCGAUCAUUGCCCGAUACUGCAAUCAUUCAUAGGUUCAUUCUCUAAGUUCUGAAUCUUAUAAGCAGUGUUUUUUGACCAAAGCAAUAACUUUAAAUUGGAAGGUAAUUCUACUGCAGGAAUUAUUGAAGAUUCUCAGAGAACUGAGCAUAUGGGCCAUGUGGCAGCUGCCCGUUGGAAAGAAGUACGGGAAAAGGUGUGUCAUAACUCUCUCUCCUUACAAUUUAUACAACAUUUUUUUGUUUAAAAUUAUGAUUUUUUUGGUAUAGAGAGGUUGUCCCAAGGAAGGCCAUUUCGUACUAGCUGGGAAUGAAAUUCCAAGGUGGUUUAAUUUUCAAAGUGUGGGAUCUUUUAUAACCUUGGAGAUGCCCCCUGAUUUCUUCAAUAACAAUAGAGUACUGGGCUUUGCAUUUAGUGCUAUUUUAGCAUUUUCAGACCGUCAUGUAGAUUGUGGCAGAUGGUUUUCAUUUUCUUGUGAGUUCAAAGUAAAAACCACCAAAGAUUGUGAUCUGCAUGACACACGGUUAUUUCAGAGCAGAGUUAAUUAUGUAGAAUCAGAUCACUUGCAUUUGGGGUACUAUCUGUUCUGUGAAGAGGAUUUCAAUGGUUUUUGGAAAUGCAAUUGCAUUCCUGAGGCAGUUCACUUUAAUGUUUUUCCACCUUUGGAGUGCCAAUGCUGCGGGGUGAAAAAAUGUGGGAUCCAUUUACUUCACACCCCAGAUUCUACGAAUUCAAUGGAAGAUCCAAGCAGAUGUUUCAACUGUAACUAAGAAGACUGAUAUUUUCAUGCAUGUAUUUUUAUUGUAACUGAUGCAGCAUAAAACAUGAGGGCCCAAAUAGUGGAUUACAGUUGGUGUGAUUUAUUAGUGGAUUAUACUUGGUGUGUUUUAUUAAGUGCUAUCAGUGGAUUACAGCUGGUGUGUUGAGUGUUAUUAGUGGAUUACAGUUGGUGUGUUUUAUUGAGUGAAAUGUAAUAGGUGGAGCUGUGUAUGAGUACUAUAAAUAUGUGCUAAAUCCAUUGCAAAAAUCAUCCAAUCUUCAAUCAAAAUUUGAGUUUUCUCAUUUGAAAUUCUAAUUCAGAAUUUGUUAUACAUUUUUUUUCUCUUCGUGAAAACACAAGUUAGAGCGACAUCUAGCAAACCGCUGCGUCAAUUGGUAUCAGAACCUUCCUCUGUAUCAGGCGGAGCUUUCCUGGUAGCCAUAUCUUUCGUAUCCAUCCAUUCUCCAUCACCAUUUUCCAUUAAACAAAAAAAAAAUCAAAUUGAAACCCUAGACCUAGCCGCCGCCACUGUAUUUACCACCACUUCGCAAUAUCCAAACCACCUAUCUCCACUUCGCCAAAAAAAAAAAUCAAAGGCGUGAGCAUAUUGCAUCUUGUGUCUUGUGCAUAGAUUUAAAAAAAAAAAAGUGUGUGAGUCGAAAAGAAAAAGCAACGUGAGUGUGUGUAUUUUGUGAAGUGUGCAUAUUGAACAAAAAAAAAGAAAAAAAGAGAGGGUGUGUGUUUUGUGCUUUGUAGUAUCAAAAAAAAAAAAAAAAAAAAAAGAGAGACGUGAGGAGAAGUGACAAGUUCGAGGCUUGUGUGUGAACUCCGUGAGGUUUUGUGCAUUGAAUUAAAAAAAAAAAAAGUGUGUUUUGUGCUUUGUGAAGGGAGUAUUAAAAAAAAAAAAAAAAAGAGAGACGUGGGGAGAGAGAAAAGUAAGGAGAAAAAAAAAAAAGAGAUGAGUGGGUAUUAAAUUUCCUUGAGGAAUAUUGGGCUGUGUUGGUUCUGCUCCAACUUCAACUCGCCUUUGUUGUUGGAAAUUAUUGUUUUGCCCGCCAAGGAAGUGUUGAGUUAAAUUCGUAAGCAUGACUUCUAAAUUUUGUAAUCUAGUUUCAAGUGCAACAACUGAUUCUUUUGUUGCGAAUGUACCCAUAGCUUGUUGGAUUCUUCGUCUGACAUUUUUUUUCUUUUUUUCUUCUUUUUUUCUUCUUUGUUUUUUCUUUGCUUUUUUUUGCUUCUUUUUUCUUUUUUUUUCACAAUUCAAGUAAAUAAACAAAUAUACAUACAAAACAAAACUAACACAAUUCUGAUUUUUUUUUAAUUAUAGAAUAAACUACCCAAAAAAACCUCUCUUUUUGUUAAUUAAUUUUUUUUCACUCGCAAUUAUUCCUCCUAAAUUCUAUCCCUUUUCUGGAAAAAAAAUCUAAACUCGCACUCAAACCUUUUUCUUUUUUUUAUCACACAAUAUUUUUUUUUUCACUCUUGUGUAAUCUCUCUUCCCCACUCACACACACAUUACUCUUUACACCUUACAAUUCCCAAUACUUCUCUCCACCCUCACGUUUCAUUCACACACCUUUUUUUUUUUUACUCACGCCUCCUUUUUUUCUUUUUACAGUUUUUUUUCUCUUUUAAUAAAACACCCACAACUCUCAAAAUUUAUGCACAAAACACUCACACUUUUUUUUUUUUUAAGAUUCACGCCUAUCUCUCUCUCUUUUUUCAAUUUCGUGUAACAACAAAAUACACAACGCACUUAUUAUUAUUAUUUUUUUCAAAACUCACUGCCCCUUUUUUUCUUUUAAUUCCCUGCACAUGCAUACACCUUACAAGAUGCACACACCCACGUUUUUUUUUUAAUUCCCUGCACAUGCACAACACCUUUUUUUUUUUUUCAAAACUCACACCAUUUUUUUUAAAAAUUCCUUACACUUGCACAAAGUACAACACACUCAGACUUCACCGGAAUCAACUUUUCAACGAAGAUUCUAGUGAAGAUGAUGAAGGACCGGUGCCACCAGAAAAUAACCAAGUGUCUCGGCAAAUUGACUACCGAAUGAAAAUUGAAAUUCCACAAUUUGAUGGCCUAUUCACGAUCGAGGAAUUUCUUGAUUGGCUAGCUAAAGUUGAAAAAUUCUUUGACUAUUGGGAGACUGAAGAGCACAUGAAAGUCAAAUUGGUGGCCUAUCGACUCAAAGGAGGUGCGCUUGCUUGGUGGGAUCAAUUACAAACAACACGAAUUCGACAAGGAAAGCACAAAGUUCGAACUUGGCAACGCAUGAGAAAAUUAAUGAUUGACCAUUUUCUUCCUCCAGAUUAUGAGCAGACACUUUUCAGUCGGUAUCAACAUUGUCGGCAAGCCAACCGAAUAGUACAUGAGUAUGUUACAGAAUUUCACAAGCUUGUUGCAUGCGUGGAUGUUCGUAAGACUGAAAAUCAAAAGAUUUCGAGGUUCAUUGAUGGACUUUGCACCAAUAUUCAAGAUGAAGUAUUCAAGCAGUCGCAUCACACUCUGUCUAGUGCAAUUCAACUGGCCUUGAAGAUUGAAGCACAACUGAACAAAAGAGGCACCCGUAUUCAGGUUUCUUCACAAUCUUCUACACCACCACAAAAGCCUGAUUGGAAUAAACGAAAGACAAUAACCAGACCACGUGAAGAAAUGCCUAGGCCAAAUUUCUCCCAGAACCAACCGGCGGGACGAUUACAAAAUGAACCAGUGAACAAAUCCAAAUCAACUAAUCCCUAUGCAGUCCUAAGGGGAAACAAAUGUUAUCGUUGUGGUCAGACGGGUCAUUACUCUAUUCAGUGUCGACAAAGUAAACUGGUCAACUUGGCCACACAUGAUGAUGACGUUGAAGAAGAGGAGUAUCCGGAGGAUGAUGAGUAUGAAAAAGAAGACGCAUUGAAGGAAUUCACCUAUGAAGAUGAAGGAGUAUCAUUAGUAAUAAGACGACUAAUCUAUACCCCGAAGAAAGAUGAGAGCAUUCAACGACAUAACAUCUUGAAAACACGGUGCACAGUCAACCAACGGGUAUGUGAUCUUAUCAUUGAUCGUGAAAGUAGUGAGAACAUAGUAUCCAAGACCAUGGUAGAUAAAUUGUAAUUACCAACUCAAUCACACCCAUUUCCAUACCGCAUUAGGUGGAUUAAAGAUGUCAGCGAGACAAAGGUGACCGAACAAUGUCGUGUUCCUUUCUUUAUCGGUUAGUAUAAAGACGAGGUAAUGUGUGAUGUUGUUGAUAUGGAUGCUUGUCAUAUGUUAUUUGGUCGUCCUUGGCAAUUUGAUUUAAAUACAGUGCAUAAUGGCAAAAAUAAUACUUAUACAUUUUAUAAAGACAACAUGAAGUUUAUUCUGGCCUCAAUGAAGCAUUCUAACACUCCAACAUGCUCAAAGACCAGGAACAACCUUCUUUUGGUGCCCAAAGAUGUUCUUAUCUCACAAAGUGUACCAGAUUCAAUUCAACCUUUAUUGGUAGAAUUCACUGAUGUUGUUCCCGAUGAAUUACCAAUUGGAUUACCUCCACUUAGAGAUAUCCAGCACCACAUUGAUCUUAUUCCUGGAGCAAACUUACCAAACUUACCACACUACCGCAUGAGUCCUAAAGAAUAUGAGAUUCUGGAUGAACAAGUUGAGGAUCUUCUCAAGAAAGGCCUGGUUCAAGAAAGUAUGAGCCAUGUAGCUGUACCCACACUCCUGACUCCAAAGAAAGAUGGAAGCUGGAGAAUGUGCAUAGAUAGUCGAGCCAUCAAUAAGAUUACGGUAUGAUAUCGUUUUCCUAUUCCUCGAUAAAGAUAACGUGCUUGACAGAUUAGGAGGAUCAAAAUUAUUUUCUAACAUUGAUCUGCGGAGUGGGUACCAUCAAAUUCGGAUUUGCCCUGGUGAUGAGUGGAAAACAUCGUUUAAAACUCAUGAGGGUCUGUACGAGUGGCUAGUUAUGCCCUUUGGUCUAUCGAAUGCUCCAAGCACUUUCAUGAGGUUAAUGAAUCAGGUAUUUCAACAUUUCAUUGGAAAUUUUGUUGUUUAUUUUGAUGACAUCUUAAUUUACAGCCAUAGCGAGAAGAUCAUAUUCAACAUUUGAAGGAAGUAUUUGAGGUGUUACGAAAGAACAAGUUGUAUGCCAAUCUUAAAAAAUGUAGCUUUAUGAAAGACAACUUAAUUUUUUUGGGCUUUGUUGUGAGUUCAGACGGAAUCAAAGUCGAUCAAGAAAAUGUGAAAGCUAUUCGAGAAUGGCCGACACUGAAGACAAUUUCAGAUGUUCGAAGCUUUCAUGGUCUUGCAACCUUUUACAGACGAUUUGUGAAGGACUUCAGCACCAUAGCUGCACCACUUACAGACUGUUUAAAGCAAAAACAAUUUGUUUGGACAAAAACAACAGAACAAAGCUUUACGGUCUUGAAGGAGAAGCUUACAAAUGCACCAGUGCUUACACUUUCUGACUUUAACAAGAUUUUUAAAGUCGAUUAUGAUGCUUCUGGAGUGGGAAUUGGAGCUGUUCUAUCUCAAGAAAUGAAGCCAAUUGCCUUUUUCAGUGAGAAGCUCAGCGGAGCCAGAAAGAAAUGGUCAACAUAUGAGCAAGAAUUAUAUGCAAUUGUUCGCACUUUGCAAUAAUGGGAGCCAUAUCUAAUUCAAAAAGAAUUCAUCAUACACACGAAUCAUCAAGCUCUCAAGUAUCUCAACAAUUCCUCUAAAGCCAAUCGAAUGCAUGCGAGAUGGAUUGCCUAUAUUCAGAAGUUCACUUUCUCUCUCAAACACAAGUCAGGCCAAUUGAACAAAGUCGUUGAUGCACUGAGUCGUCGAGUUAUGUUAUUGACUAGUGCUCAUAAUGAAAUAAUUGGUUUUGAUUAUUUGAAAAUUUUGUAUGCAGAUGACGAGGAUUUUCAUGAAGAAUGGCAAAAGUGCACUAGCGGAGUUGCAAGUAAACACCAAUUACAUGAUGAAUUUUUAAUCUUUGAAGAUCGUCUAUGUAUUCCAUGAGGAUCACUAAGAGAACACAUCAUUCAAGAGCUACAAGCUGGAGGUUUAGGGGGUCACAUGGGACGUGACAAAACCAUUUCAUUGGUAGAAGUUUGAUAUUUAUGGCCUCAUCUCAAACAUGAUAUUGAGAAAUUUUUCAAACGUUGUUAUACAUGCUAGACUGCAAAAGGACAAGCUCAGAAUACUGGGUUAUACAUGCCACUUCCUAUUCCAAAUGCACAUUGGGAAGACUUGUCCAUGAAUUUCAUUUUAGGAUUACCACGAACACAGAAAGGUUUAGAUUCUAUCUUUGUUGUGGUAGAUCGUUUUUCUACAAUGGCUCAUUUUAUUCCAUGCAGGAAAACUUCGGAUGCUACCUACAUUGCCCAACUAUUCUUUCGAUAAAUUGUUCGUCUACAUGGAUUGCCAAAGACAAUAGUUUCUGAUCGAGAUAGCAAAUUUCUUAGUCAUUUUUGGCGUACUUUAUGGAAAAGACUUGAUACAACUUUACAAUUUAGUAGCACUUAUCAUCCACAAACGGAUGGGCAGACUGAAGUCACCAAUCGCACACUGGGUAAUAUCUUGCAAUGCUUGGUUAAAGAAAACCCAAGACAAUGGGAGAAUGUUUUACCACAAGCUGAAUUUGCUUACAACAAUGUGCCUAAUCGUUCUAGUGGUAAAUCUCCAUUUGAAGUUGUUUAUAUUCAUCCUCCAUUGCACACUUUAGACUGGGUUCCUUUACCAAAGCUUCCUGGAAUGAGCGUCAUUGCUAAUCAUCUAAUCGAUAAAGUGAUCGAUGUACAUGGAGAGGUAAAAAAUAAGUUGGAAGAAUCUACCGCAAAAUACAAGGCCAUUGCUGACAAGCACAGAAGAUUCAAGUCAUAUAAAGUGGGUGAUUAUGUCAUGGUACAUCUGCGCAAAGAACGAGUUCUUGUAUGAGAAUACGAUAAGCUCAAACAGAAGAAAAUUGGUCCCUUUCGCAUCCUUCAAAAGAUUAAUGAUAAUGCCUAUAUCAUCGAUCUCCCCGAACAAUAUGCCAUUUCUAACACUUUCAAUGUUCAAGAUUUGUACGAGUAUCAUGGUCCAGAACAAAUUCCUUGACUAACUCAAGGACGAGUUGUCUUUAAGAGGGGGAGAAACUGAUGCAGCAUAAAAUAUGAGGGCCCAAAUAGUGGAUUACAGUUGGUGUGAUGAGUGUUAUUAGUGGAUUAUAGUUGGUGUGUUUUAUUAAGUGUUAUUAGUGGAUUACAGCUGGUGUGUUGAGUGUUAUUAGUGGAUUACAGUUGGUGUGUUUUAUUGAGUGGAAUGUAGUAGGUAGAGUUGAGUAUGAGUACUAUAAAUAUGUGCUAAAUCCAUUGUAAAAAUCAUCCAAUCUUCAAUCAAAAUUUGAGUUUUCUCGUUUCAAAUUCUAAUUCAGAAUUUGUUAUACCUUUUUUUUUCUCUUCGUGAGAACGCAAGUUAGAGCGACAUCUAGCAAACCGUUGUGUCAGUAACAAAACAUUCGAGGGAUAACUAUUAAUAAUAGGAGAAAAUGCUAAAAUCAGUUCUUGGAACAAAACAUUCAUGUAAUAACUUUGGAGGAAUCAGGUGCAUGCAAUUACCUUCGAGGGAUUUGGUGCAAGCAACACAAAUUCACACUAGAGCAUAGAACAUUACCUUAUUAGAUGAAGAGUUUAACAUAUGAAAAUCACAUGAUUUAUAAUGUAAAAUUCCAAAAUUAUUGGCCUUCUUUCCUGCAUUGUGCACACAAUAACUCAAAACACAUCUAUUUGGUUAGAAGAGUACAUGACAUAUAAACCAGUAAAAAAAACUCACUCGCUAGCGAUGUGGGAUAUUAUAAGACGCGCGGCAAGUUCUUAUUGGUGGAGUAAUGUUGUGGUCCCAUAUCGAUGCCAAUGAAAACAUGCCACUCAUCAUGUUGUGCACUAAAUCAACGCUUAUGUAUAUAAUGCAAUCACAUUUGAAAUUUUCUACUUUCUUAAGUCUAAAUUAUUGUAUGUGGGAAAGUUUCAUCAUGUAGAAGCAAAAGCCAUAAAGUGGGAACAGUUAAAACACCAUCAAAUCUUAUAUAUUUGAAAAAAACAUAUUUGUCUACCAAUUAAAAAAAAAGAACAGGACAGGUGUCAUUUGCACUCAACUCAUUUGUGUUGUGAAUCCAUUUGCUUAAACAUGUAUCCACUUUUUCAAGUAUCUACACCAAUUUCAUAUUCAGAAUGGUGUAUUUAAUUCUAUAGUUGACAUGGUAUCAUCUAUGGCUAGAAUUUAGCUUUAAAAAACUAGCUUGUAAGGAAAGGAUUAAAGAUGCCCAUGAACUUAUAUUUCUAUUUAGAUUACUGUAUCUUUUUCAUGUGAAAAAUUGAAUCCUAUCAUUCACUUAUCAUUAACAUAAGCAAUAUAGAUAUUAAAUCAUUGUUCUUUAUUAUUGUGCAAAAUUUAACUUUUUAUAGAAUAAUUUGAUAGAUUUCUUAAAUCAAUUUGGAGCUUCUACAACUUGUCUGGGAUCAGUUUCUCCUACAUUCCUUUCGGUGCCAAAAGGUAUUCAAGUGGUUGAAGAAGAAUUGAUCCAUACAAUAUAAGUGCAAGAGUUGUUUGUCUUUUUACAAUAGGAAUAAUAUAUAAUGCAUCGAUACUUGCUGAUGAGAAAGUAAAUUUCUCAGAAAUUAAAUGUUUCAGCCAACCAAGGAAGCAGCUUUUCAUGGACCAACUCAGGCCUGUCGUCAUGGGGGCAAUUUCCUACUCCUUCCAAUGCAAUUAACUUCACAACUGAGAGUUAAGAAGGAGGAGAUGAGAAGUAUUCACCAACAGGUCCAUCGAGGGGGGUGAAUGGAUCCUCAUUACCCCAUAAGACUAGUACAUGUAUAUAGAUUGAUGGCAUCAGUUGCACUGGGUUCGGCCCUGGUGAGCCUCUCGCAAUCGAAACAAAUGCAUCAAGUGCCCCGUCAUCAUUGGCGGGUUCUCGUAUGUUCUGCAAUUAUGAGGUCAAUUCAUGAAUUCUGAGUAGCCAUUUUUGUAAGAGGUUAAAAUGGCACAUAAGUGGAGAAUAUUAGUACAUCUACCAGUGUUUCAUCCACAGAUUCCUUAUUUCCAUAGAUGGACAGUAAAAUAUUGCUCUGUGUUACCCUGCAGCACGAAUAUAUACACACGUGGAGUUUUUUAGUUUUGGCUCUAGUGUUUUAGGAUAAUGAACAAUGGACUGAAUAGAGAGAAGAGAACAACUUUGUUUCACACACUCAAAGAUUGCAUAAGUAAUUGGCCUUUGUUUCAACAAAAAAUCAGGGAACCAAAGCAAUGGUUACACUAGUUUCAUUCUCCAAUCAUCAACAAUUGCCUUGUUGUUCAUGCCACCAUCACAAUUCAACAGAACAAGCCCUCGAACAAGUGUUUGACUGGAUUCUUAUGGUAGAAAAUAUAGUAGGUUUACUGCAAAAUAUAGAUACCAAAAAGGCUAAUUAGGUGCAAGUGUUUCUUUGUGAGCAAGAUGAAGAAGAAGAAGUUAAAAUAAGUAUACCUGAGGCAGCAAUAACACAAGCUAGGCUUCCAACAGAAUUACCUAUAAGCACAGUUGGCUUCUGAACAACUUCAUCCAAGAAAUCCAAUAUUAGAUGUAUCAGUGAGCCUCACUCAAGUUUGCAAGAAAAAUCACUAAAGGUCAAGCAAUUGACGAAGUAGGUGCGGGGAAGAUCCAACUUCUGGCUCGGGAACAUGCAUAGCCAGGGCCAGGGGCGGAGCUUGGGGAAAAUUCUACGGGGGCUAAAUUUAAAAUUCCAACUUUUAUGUUAUUAUAUAUUAGUGGCUUAGUGGGCUUUAGUGGACUUGGCUAAUUUGUUUCUUAUUUUUUUAUGCUAUCAUUAGUGGGCCUAACAGUAAAAUUACAAUAUUAUCUAAUAUAUAAACUUUAUACAUUUAUUGUGCAAGGGCUAGUAUGGACAUUUUACACUAACUUUUCAUAUUUUAUUUAAAAACCCUAAAAAAUUUUUUAAAAUUCUACGAGGACUAUGGCAUCUUCUAUUCUUAUAUGGCCUCCACCCCAUGCCUCCAUGGUAUGUGGAAACCCAGCUGGCUUAUCUGAAGCACCAGAUAACCAGGCCUGCUCCUUCCCUGGUUCUACCUCCAUGAGACUGACCAUGACAAAUCUUUUUAUUUAUUUAUUUAUGAGGCUUAUUCCACUAUUAUAUGAAAAUUUUACUGAUAUUCCUCAAAAAUCAAAAUAAUCUGCCUGAAACGAAUAUCAAGUUCUUUACUAAAAUACUCCAUGUCAUGGUGUCUCCACCCAAUAAGUUUUGCAAACCCAUCUCAUUUUUUUAAAAAAUAAUUAUAAAAAUAUACACUAUUUUUUAAAAUCUUCAAGUAUAGGAGAGCUUUAGAGGAUUAAUUAAUUAAAUCUAUUUUAAUUUAUUUUUUUGUGACUCAAUUUUUUUAUUAUAUUUGACUACAAAGAUUGCUUUGGCACAAUUUACUAUUUUACUCUUAUAAGGUAAAACUGAGAAGAAUUUACUUUAAUAUUUUUCUAGUUUUAUACCAAAGUCAUUGUUUUUAAUACUACUUUAUUAGUAGAGUUUUAAUCUUUAAUUAAACUAAAUAUAGUAUCUUUCUGGCAUGAUACUCAUAUCAAUUAUUGGGAUGUCAAUUUUAUAUUAUUUACACAUAAAAGUAGUGAAAAUAAUAAUUAGAUUUUAUUUAAAAAUAUCAUAUUAUAAGUUACAAAAUUAAAUACCUAAAUUAUUAGAUACAAUAACUCAUGUUUAUUGGAAUAAUUUAGACGCUAUAUAUCAUAAUAAUAAAAUACUAAAAUAAAACUUAUAUUAAAGAUUAUGAUAAAAGAUGGUCAAAGAAACCUAAGAUGCGGCAAAUCCCUUCACCGUGAAAAUUAGAUCAAGCAGAGCUUGCAUUCCCUAUAGUUAAAAAAGGAAGAAAAAAAAAUCAUUACUAUUAGGCUUAAAUUUUAAUUAAACAAAAGACGAAGCAAGAGUGAAUAGAGUAAUACCAAAGCAAAUUUAGGAUUGUUAGGUCCAAUUUGUAGACCAACUUCAGAACUUCUAAUAUUAGACUUAGGAGGAGGGAUCUGAAAAAGUUGUUGCAACAGCGAGUACACAUCAAGAUUCACGCUGCUCCUCACUUUGAGGGCCAAAAGAGUGCGGAGGCGCGACAAGGCUGACGCGCGAUUCUUGUGCUGCAAUCGGUCUCCGGCGGCCUGCACUAUGACGCCGGUCGGUACGUGCUUGAGACGAACGGCCGAUUCGCGCUUGUUCUGGUGCUGACCGCCUGGUCCCGACAAUAUGAACGUGUCCAUUUCGCAUUCGUGAAACAGCUCAUCAUCUGCCAAUUCUAAGUAAUUCUUCUUCGAAGAAGUUGAAGAACAAUUGCCAUUCGGGCUGUAAUUGCAAGACAAGAACGGUGGCUGAUAAUUCCAGCAACACAUUCUUAUAGUAGGCCCAGCCUAAUCCAGCCCAGUCGCGCUAAUGAGCGCCUUCUCCCCCAUCUUAUAUGCAAUGAUUAUGUGCUGGUUGGAUGUAGUUUAUCUAAUAAGUCUUUACUUAGGGUCAGUUUGGAAUUGCGAAGGCUGAUGAAAUAAACUACUUAUAUUGUAUAGAUGAAAUAAGCUGUUGAUUAAAAAAAAUAGCUUGGUGUUUGAUAAACUGUAUUGUUGCAAAUGCUAUGAGUUUAAAAAGUAGAGUACAUGUGUUUGAUAAAUUUUAUUAUGAAAGUGAUGCUUUAUUAUAUGAUAACAAAAAUAAAUAUAAGUUUAAAUUGCCUUUUACUUUUAGAGUAUGUUUAAUAAAUUAUUUAGACAUACCUUUUCUUCUUAAACAGGUAAAAUUGCAUUCAAAAACUCAAUUAACGACACGGAUAUAGAAGAAAAUUAUGGAUAAAGAAAAAAAUAUAUAGGAAAAAAAUAUGAACUUACUAGAUAAAAAUUAGGUAUAAAAAAAUAUAAAUAUAUAUAGAUUAAACUUUAAAAGCCAUAGUUAUGGAAUUACAAUAUGAACUUAUUGGACAAAAACUGAAGAAAAUGUACGUGGUUACGACGAUAACUAAAUUAUGGCGGUAAUAUGAUAUCUAAUGAUUUAUAUAUUAGGGUUUAUAAAUAAGUAAGAUAUAAUUGUCUUUUUAUUAAAAUACUAGGAUUGUAAUAGGAAUUUUCAAAAAGUGUUGUAGCAUAUUGAAUAAGCUGCUUAUGAAAAGUAACCACCUAUCUACUUUUAAAAGCUGUUGAUAAAAUAGAGAAAAUUAUGAAAUAAGUUACUUUUACAAAAUUUAGCAAACAUUAUUUUUGUCAAAAAUUAUGAAAUAAGCAGGUUAUUGAACUUCAACCCCAAUACCAAACGGGACCUUAAUCUUAUAAGUUCUUUUUAAAUUUUUUUAUUGUUAUUUAGUUAUUUUUUAGUACCACUUUUAAAGACUAAAUAAGAUAUUUUGCCUCUACUAAUAAAAGCUUAAACUUUAGGCUUUCAGGAGUAUAUGUUUAAAAUGUUAAAAUGUUUAAAAUAUUCUUUUUUUUUACAAUCUUAUUUCAUUUUUUUCAUAACAUAACUUUAAAAAACUUGUCUAUUAAAUUAAAUUUAUAAUUUGUGAUAAAAGUUUUCAGUGACAACCAAAUAAUUAAAUUUCUUUUUAGUAACUCUAUUUAUAAAAGUUCUACUGACAAAAUGUCUAUUUAAAUAAGCUCUAUUUAAAAGUUAUACUAAACGGACCCAACAAUAUCAUUGACGCAAGCAAUGUUAUUCAAUUAUUUUUGAACUCAUGGUGGCUCUGUAUCAUUUGCAAAAUAUUGUUAUAAGAGAGAGGGAUAUAAUUUAUGUUGGAAUAUUCUCAAAACAAAUGGCGUGCCUUAAAAGGUGUCUUAUUGUAAAAUACAUCUAACUAAAUAUUGUCAUAUACAAGAAAAAUGUAUCUUUUUUUUCUUUUAAAGAUGUAUCUAUUCAUGGUGCUGUAUUUUUUUUUGAAAUGAUGAUGGUUUAUCUUGGACCAGUGAUGAUUUAAUUUAAAUUUUAAUCCAAUAACCAUGGAUAGAGGGUGUCAUAAAAGGUAACAACCCAAAUGAAGGAGCGCAUGAUUAUCUAUAAAUAAAAGUCGCAACAUUUUCUAUAAAUAGAAGUUACGCCAUUUUUUGAUCCAUAUAUCUUCUUGCACCACUCUUUUUUUCUUUUUUAUUUUAAUCCCUCUUUCCUAAAACGAAUUUCUGCAUAAUAAAUCUAUAUUUUAUGCAUCAAAUCUCUAAUAUAUUAUUUUUUUUGUAGGAACAAUAUAUUAAUUUUUCGUAAGCUUACAACAUACAAGGGUAUUUAGGUUUGCUUUUAUUAGAGCAUAAUACAGGCAAAUAAAACAAGCACUUCAUUAUAUCAUGGAGACACAUUUGCUUCACUCAUAUAUGUCACUCAAUUGGAGGAGAGAGUAACUAACGUCUUGAGGAAAGCAACAUUGUGUCUUGCAGCACUGUCAAUUCUUAAAAUUUACUAUUAUUAUUAUGAUGAUUAUUAUUCUUUGUACCUAUAAAGUUUCAUCAAUUAUGUCUCCAAUUAGCCACAAUUAUUAUUCCCCAGGAAUAUAUUUCCAAUAUUUUAUUUCACAUAUUUACUUCUGCUACUAGUAUGAUAACAAAUAAUGCCUUUUUUAACUACAUCAGUUUCUAGAUCGAUUUUAUUGAUAACUAACCGAACGCACCAUCCAUUAUUUAAUUUAUGGGUCAAAUAAGUCUAGUAGUUGAAAUAGAAUGUUUGUUUGGUAGAUAAUUUCGAUUUUUAUAAUUGUUUAAAAGAUUUUCAAACAUAAGUACAAUAUUAUACAAUUGAAGCCUAGUCCAACAUAGAAAAUCAAAUAAAAUUAAUUUUCAUCACUACUCGAGAGAAUCAAAAGAGUACUAAGGUAGCAUUUUUUUUUUAAUCUAAAAUUUGAAUAGGCCUGAAUUUAGGUGAAGUCUUAACAUAAAUGUCUAAAUAAUAUGUUUAUUUUUUUAAUAUCUGAAAAUUAAGUGACAUCUUAUUUGUUUUUUUAUAAUUUUUAAAAAAUAAACAUGGUUAUUUGACAUUUUUGUUCUUAUAAGUCAAAAUGAAUAAAUGGAUUAGACAUUAUAAUUUAGGAAAUAACUAUAUAAUAGAAACAUCUUUAGGAUAGAGUAUUUACUUUCCAUUCAUAUAUGGUUAUGACUUAUGAGUACGAAAGCACAAAAGUCGUGUGUUGAAAGUAUGGUGUUCAUGUGGAAAUUUCAGCUAAAAGUCCACAAAGUAAUUUCAGUCAUCGUACAGUCCACUGUGCUUGGACAAUGAGAUGACAUUGAAAAAUUAUCACGGAACUUCAAGGGAGGUUCAUAGCAUCGAUUUAUUCUACAGAGUCACGCAAAUUGAUUCAAUAAUAGUUUUCAUGCCAUCAAAAUCUCUCGCUAAUUAAUCCAACUGUUUCUGUUAAUUAUGGCUUCUUCUUCUCGAAACAACAAGAAAUAUGAUGUUUUUGUUAGUUUCAGAGGAGAUGACACCCGUGACAACUUUACUAGUCAUCUCUAUUCGGCUCUUUCUCGACAAAAUAUCCAAACUUUCAUUGACGACCAAUUGAAUAGAGGAGAUGAAAUUUCAGAGUCACUUUUGAAUGCAAUUGAAGCAUCAGCCAUUUCAGUUAUCCUUUUCUCUGAAGGCUAUGCCUCUUCUAGAUCGUGUCUCGAUGAACUUGAGAAGAUCCUCGAGUGCAAGAGAGAGUAUGGACAGAUUAUGAUUCCGGUUUUCUAUCUGGUUGAUCCAUCAGACGUGAGAAACCAAACGGGGUCUUUUGGGAUUUCAUUUUCGAAGCUUGAAGAAAGAUUUAAGGAGGAUUCAGAGAAGCUGCAGACUUGGAGGAAUGCUUUGAAGGCAGCAGCCAGUCUGUCUGGCUUUCAUUCUCAGAUCAUCAGGUGAAAAGUUAUUUUUAAUUUCGCAUACUAAUAUUUAACACUGUAAAUAGAUUUCACGCAGCACUCUUUUAGUUACAUAACUACACUUUUUUUAGGCAUCAGAUUCUAGACUUCUUGAAUUUCCCCACUUUUGAGCCCAUAUAUUUUUGCAGAAUUAAUAACAAAAGCCCCAGAAGUUUACAAUAUAUUUAACAAAAUUAAUGGCAUUCUGUCUUUUUUUAAGCAAUUUCAAUCUCUCACUCAUAUACCAUUAUGAAAAAAAAAAAAAUCUCCCACAUAUAGAAUAUUCCUGUAAUUUAAGAGUUAUUAAUUUAUAGGGAGAUUGUAAAUUCCCUUACACAAAUUAAUAAAUACUACUUAUUCUGAUUAUUUUUAUAAAAUUUGAUAGCUCUCUUGGUACCAUCAUUUUACAAAAUUAUCUCUAUGAAAAAAAAAAUAAGUGGUAUAAAUUAAUUUCAAUAGAAAACUGGCAAUUUCCUUUUUUUCAUAGUUGCUGCAAAUCCCUCCUAUUUGAAGUUACUGGUGAUAAUUUUAUGUAUUUGCUAGGCCUGAAUCGGAACUUAUAAAGGAAGUUGUUAAUCACAUUUUGAAGAGACUGGAUGAAGUGUUAUAACAAAAACCACCUGGUUGGAGUGGAAUCAAAAGUUGAGGAAAUUGAAUCUCUGUUAGGUGUUGAGUCGAAAGAUGUUUACGCUUUAGGGAUUUGGGGCAUUGGUGGCAUAGGCAAUCGCCUUGUACACACCACCCUAAAUGAUUUUGUUAUUGAACUUUACAACCCAAAACACAUCUACUUAGGUGAGCAUGUGACUUAUAAACUAGUGAAAAAACCCACUUGCCAGCGGCAUGGAAUAUUACAGGACGCGCAACGAGUUCUUAUAGAGUAUGUUGUGGGCCCAUAUCUCAACCAAUGAAAACAUGCCACUCAUCCGAUUGUGCACUACAUCAACUCUCCUGUAUAUAACGCAAUCACAUUUGAAAACUUUCUACUUUGUUAAAUCUAAAUUGUUGUAUAUGGGAAAGUUUCAUCAUGUGGAAGCAAAAGCAAUAAAGAGGGAACAGUUAAACUCCAUCAAAUCUUAUAUAUUUUAAAAAACAUAUUUGUAUAUUGAUUUUUUUUUAAAAAAAGAACGUGAUAGGUGUCAUUUUCACCCAACUCAUUUUUGCUGUGAAUCAAUUUGCUUAAACAUCUAUUUUGGGGUGAAAAACAUCAUGAUCAGGCACACAUGAGCAAAAUGUGCUCCCCUCGGCCUAAAAUGACUCAUCGAGAAAGAUUAUCCCCGAUGAGGUGUGUGCUGGUCACAUGAGCAAAGUCGGCUCGAGGAAGUGCGAGAAGAGACUAGAAUUAAGUCAAAACGAAGACUUGGUUAAAGGUCAACCCAUGGGUUUCCUCCAAAGAAUUCGAGCAUGAAGCCCACUCACCAGUAGUUACGCUGCCUACUCUCCCACGAUUAUGUGACUAACCUAACAAUGGUGUUGGGGGAGAGAGGAGGCCCAUAAUUUUGGUUGGAUAUUAAAGCUUUAGAGAACGGAGGUAAGGGUUUGGAUAACUUUUUACUUAAUUUUCUCAUACUCUCUCUAUUCACAAUUUUAUCUUCUCUAUCUUUCUUGUUUUCUGAAAUUAAACCUUUUUUUCAUUCAGAGUAGCUGUAAUUAAGUCACGUGAAUCAUGUCACGAGUUUUUCCAAGUAGACCCAUAUCGCUCACUUGCGCGUCGGAGGGUUUACGCCGGAAAAACCUCAGCAUCUCCUAACUAGUUGUUAUAAACGUAGGUGUUCUUGGAGAAAGUACUCGAGGGCGCAGGAAUUUGUUCGAUAGUGAGGAAGUAGCAUAGAACCGUCUCCCUAUUAACAACAAAUUUAAGUUUUGGCGUGGUUGUCUGGUCGCUACAUAGCUUGACCAGAUUUCUAUAUCAACAAACAUGUAUCCACUCUUUCAAGUAUUUAUACCAAUUCCAUAUUUGAAAUGUUUCAUUUGAUUCCAUAGUUGACGUGGUAGCAUCUAUGGCUAGAAUUUACCUUUAAAAAAACUAGCUUGUAAGGAAAGGUUAAAGAUGCCCAUGAACCUUUAUUUCUACUUAGAUUAUUGUAUCUUUUUCAUUUGAAAAAUUGAAUCUUGUCAUUCACAUAUCAUUAACACGAGCAAUAUAGAUUAAUAAAUCAUUGUUCUUUAUUAUUGUGCCAAAUUUGACUUUUUAUUGAAAAAAUUGGUACAUUUCUUGAAUCAAUUUGGAGUUUCUACAACUUUUCAGGGAUCAGUUUCUCCUACAUUCUUUCGAUGUCAAAAGAUAUUCAAGCGGUUGAAUAAGAAUUGACAUAUGCAAUAUAAAUACAAGAGUUGUUUGCCAUUUUAAAUUGGGAAUAACAUAUAAUGCUCAUCAAAACUUGCUAAUGAGAAAGUAAAUUCCUCAGCACUUAAAUGUUCUAGCCAACCGAGAAAGCAUCUUUUCAUGGAUCUCCUUGGGUCUGUCGUCAUGGGGAUGAUGUCCCACUCCUUCCAAUACAAUUAACUUGCACAUUUGAGAGUUAAGAAGGUAGAAAUGAGGAGUAUUAACCAACAGGUCCAACAAAGAGGGUGAAUGGAUUCUCAACACCCCAUAAAACUAGUAUAGGUAUAGAGAUUGAUGGCAUCAAUUGCACUAGGUUUGGCCUUGGUAGGCCUAUCACAAUCGAAACAAAUGCAUUAAGCAUCUAUUCAUUAUCGGUGGGUUCUCGUAUGAUUUGCAGUUUUGAGGUCAAUUAUGAAUUCUAAGUAGCCGUUUUUGUAGGAGGUUAAAAUGGCACAUUAGUGGAGAAAUUAGGGCAUGUUCGGUAACAUUUAUGGGCCCUGUUUUCAUUUUCCUUUUAUGAAUCUAAGUUAAUGCGCGAUUGAUGGCCGAAAUUCAAAAAACAAAUUGUGAAACAAAUAAUUCAUAUCUUCUUUUAUAGUUAUAAAUUUGAGAACAUGUAUAACUUAUUCUCAAUGAAUUACAAAUAUAAAUUUGAGACUGUCUAUUUCUCUCGCCUAAAAUCUUAUCGCGAUCUUCCCAUUCACUCUCCCUUAUCACAGAUCUAAUCGCUCUUUUUCUCCAUCUUUGGUACAUGUUGCUAUUCUCUCUUCUUUACUGCUCUGGUCCUGCUGCUCUGUCUCUUUCACUACUGUUGCUCUUCCUCUGCGCUGCUGUUAUCUCUCUCCUGCUGCUGUUAAAUUUGUGAGUUCGCUCUUUGUUACUAUCAUCCUCACAACUGGCGGAAAUCAGAGAAUCCACUCUUUCGUAUGCUUAAAGUUCUUGGGAUUGAAAAUUUUCACCAAGUUAAAAAUGUGUAAUAAAGAUUUCUUCUUCGAAAAUGUUAUAACAUUCUUUUACAGUUUUACCUUUUUCACCUCUUCCUCUUUCAAUGUGAAAAAAAAUGUAAGUUAGUUUAAACUUUAGAGAAUUUUAGAUGAAAUCAUUCCACAUCCAAUUAGACUAUAUCUACUUGUUUGUCCAUUAACAUAAUUUUAAUUUAAUAUAUAAUUGUAAUUAUCCAAGCAGGGCUCUAAGAUGUCAAUGCCCCACCAAAAAGGGCAAAGGAAAAUGAAGAAAGAAGACAAAAGAGGAAGAAGAAAAAAAAUUGAGAGGAAAAUAUAUCAAGGGUAGGCACCAGAUGUUUGAAAAAGAAAAAGAUAAAUUCAAAGCUCAAAAGUUUGAAAACUUGAAAUUUGCAGCUGUAUUGGUUGAAGAUUAAAGCCACCUUUUUGACUUUAUUGGCCAUCAUUUUGCUAUAAAUAGAAGUGCAAAUGAAGAGCUGAAGCAUUCCAUCGAGAGAGAAGCAUUUCCUUCCUUUAGAGUUGAAAGUAUUAAAGAGUUUAAUAAACUCUUGAGUGAUUAGUGUUUUGAGAGUUUGGGUGUAUUAGGAUUUUGGGAAGUGAGCUAAAAUACUACAAUACUUGUAACUCUUUUUCACUAGUAAAAUAUUUCCUUCUGUCUUUGCCCGUGUACGUAGGCUAAAAGCCAAACCACGUAAUUUUUGGUGUCCUCUUUGUGCUUGUUCUUUAUUUUCUUCCAAUUUCAUUCUAGCUGCGUGUCUGCUUCACCCAUCAAUUUCCUAAUAGUGGUAUCAGAGCUAUUGGUUGAAUUUUUUGGAGUCGGGUACUGUUCACGUAAGGGGUACUAUUCACGUAUACGAUAAUAUUCACGUAUAUGAUACUAUUCACGUAUAUGAUACUAUUCACGUAUACGGUACUAGUCACGUGAAACGGUGGAAGCGAUCCAAGAAUUUUACGGUACAAAGCAGGGAAUAGUGGUGUGAGUAAAGCAACUGUGUGGUUUUGUACAUGUCUAGGAAAGUUCUGUCACAAAGGCGAUAAGAGCUUAAGGAGUCUAGGUUUUAAGUAGGGGUGGGCAAAAUCGGGUUCGGGUCGGGUUCGGUUCAACCCGAUCGGGUUUCGGGUUGUUCGGGUUAGACAAAAAUUAAUCCGAACUUAACCCGAAUUAGUGACCCGACCCGAUCCGACCCGAAUAUUAAGUUCGGGUUAGAUUUAAAUAAUUAAUAAUUUAGCACAAAUAACUAUUAAACUAUAUAUAUAUACCAUGAAAUAUUGAAUUUGAAAUUAUGAAACUUCAAAUCUCAAAAACGAGUUCGGGUCACAAAGCCACAACACAAAGUCACAAAGGAGAAAGCUCGGGUCGGGUCAGGUUGGGGGCUUCAGCCACGGCAGCAGAUGGCAGCAGCUCACGGCAGCAGCUCACGGCAGUAGAUCGCGGCAGCAGAUGGCAGCAGCAGAUGGCAGCAGCUCGCGGCACAGAUCGCGGCAGCAGAUGGCAGCCGAUUGCAGCAGCAGAUGGCAGCAGAUCGCGGCAGCAGAUCGCCUGUUGGGUGUCGGUUUCGGCAGCAGAUUUGGUUUCGGCAGAGUCAGACUUCAGGCCUUUGGUUUCGGCAGCACUCAUAGCAGAUUGGUUUUGUUCUGUGUGUUGUUUGUGUGUUUCACAGUGUGUGACUGUGUGUGAAUUGUUGUGAGCUGUGAGGUCCGUCUGCGUCUGGUGUGCAGUGUGCGUGUGUGUUGUAAAGUGUAAAGUGUAAUGGGUGAGUGAUUUUUUUUUUUGGGAAGACCCGAUCAGGUAUUCGGAUCGGGUCGGGUUUAAACCGACCCGAUCCCAACCCGAUCGGGUUGGCACUUCCUCAUCCGAUCGGGUUGCCAUAACAACCCGAUCCGACCCGAACCCGACCUUUUUUGGGUCGGAUCGGGUCGGGUUGGAUCGGGUUGGGUAUUUUGCCCACCCCUAGUUUUAAGUGGGACUAUUGUGACCCCUCUAGUCUUUCCUGGAAACUUUCCUGGUGUGCAUUCUCACACAUACUCACAACUAUUCAAGGUGGUACACUAACUUGUAUGCGGUAUUUAUCAACAAAAUGGCGGCAAAGUAUGAAAUUAAGAAGUUUAACGGAAAUAAUUUUUCGUUGUGGAAAAUGAAGAUAAAAGCUGUAUUGAGGAAAAAUAAUUGCUUGACAGCAAUUCGCGAAAGGCCCAUGGAGAUAAUUAAUGGCAAGUGGAACGAGAUAGAUGGCAACGCCAUUUCUGAUCUACACUUGGCACUUGUGGAUAGAGUAUUAUCCAGUGUGGCAGAGAAAAAUACAACGAAGGAAAUAUGAGAUACUCCUACAAAAUUGUACGAGGCCAAGUCACUACACAAGAAAAUCUUCUUGAAGAGGAGACUUUAUACUCUUCGAAUGGAGGAAUCUACAUCGGUAACAUAUCAGAUCAAUACCUUGAAGACUCUAUUUUCACAACUCACAACGUUGGGUCAUAAUAUAGAGGAAAAUGAACGUGCAGAACUUCUACUUCAAAGUCUACCAGAUUCGUAUGAUCAACUCAUCAUCAACCUGACGAAUAACAAUCUAGUGGAUAGUCUAGUUUUCGACGAUGUUGCAGCCUCCGUAUUAAAUGAGGAGAGUAAGCGGAAAAAUAAGGAAAACAAACAAGCAAGUUCGCAGCAAGCGGAGGCGCUAUCGGUAAUGAGAGGGAGAUCAACGGAACGUGGCCCCAGUAGGAGUCAAAAUCAUGGUAGAUCAAAAUCCAGAAGUAAGAAGAAUGUUAAAUGCUACAACUGUAGUAAGACGUCAAGAAAGAGUGUUGGAGUAACCAAAAGAGAAGAGAGGGCAAAGAACUUGAGUUAUCAAAUGCUCAGGGGUGUGUAGCAAGUACCUCAGAUGAUGGCAAAAUUCUCUACAGCGAGGCAACAACUGUUUCAGAAGGCAGAAAACGACCGUCUAAUGUUUGGCUUAUAGACUCAGGAGCUACCUGGCAUAUGACCUCUCGGAAAGAAUGGUUCCACUCAUAUGAGCCUAUCUCAGGAGGAUCUGUAUAUAUGGGAGAUGAUCAUGCUUUGGAGAUUACUAGUAUUGGUACUAUCAAAAUAAAAAUAUUUAAUGGUACAAUUCGUACAAUUGGGGAGGUAUGACAUGUCAACAGGCUGAAGAAAACUCUAUUGUCUUUUGGACAAAUGGAUAGUCAUGGGUAUAAAACUCAUGUGGAGAAUGGAAUUAUGAAGAUCGUUAAAGGUACGCUUGUAUUGAUGAAGGCAGAAAAGAUCGGUGCUAAUCUAUUCAUGUUUAAAGGAGAAACACUACAGGAGGCAGAUGCGUGUGUCGCAUCAAAUGGAGAAGAGUCAACGAUGAUGUGGCAUCUCAAACUUGGCCACAUGUCAGAAUAAGGUUUGAAGACUCUCUCUGAGCGAAAAUUGCUUCCGGGGCUCAAAUCGGUAAGUUUACCAUUUUGCAAGCAUUGUGUUACAAGUAAGCAUCAUAGAUUAAAAUUCAGUAGAUCUAUUGCUAGAAGUAAAUGCAUUCUAGACUUGAUUCAUUAUGAUGUUUGGGAAUCACUGGAUAUAUCCAUGGGAGGUGCAAAGUAUAUGGUGACUUUCAUUGAUGAUUAUUCCAGAAGAUGUUGGGUGUAUCCAAUUAAGAAAAAGUUAGAUGUAUUUCCAGUGUUUAAAAAAUACAAAGCUCGGGUGGAACUUGAAUCUGGUAAAAUGAUCAAGUGCUUGAGGACAGAUAAUGGUGGAGAAUAUAUAGACGGUGAGUUUCUUGCUUUUUGUAAGCAAGAAGGUAUUCAGAGGCAAUUCAUGGUGGCAUACACUCCUCAACAAAAUGGAGUGGCAGAGCGGAUGAAUAGAACUCUUACAGAACGGAUAAGAGUUAUGUUGAGGACUGUUAGUCUACCCAAUUCAUUCUGGGCAGAAGCAGCCAAAACUGCUUGUUAUAUAGUAAAUUGAUCACCAUCUAUAGCUAUUAGGUUGAAGACAGCGAUGAAGAUGUGGACUGGAAAGGCAGCUGAUUAUUCCUACCUACAUGCAUUUGGAUGUCCUGUGUACGUGAUGUACAAUGCCCAAGAAAGAACAAAGCUGGAUCCAAAAUCUAGAAGAUGUAUCUUCUUGGGGUAUGCUGAUGAAGUAAAGGGGUAUCGUCUGUGGGACCCCACUGCCCACAAGAUCGUCAUCAGCAGAGAUGUUAUCUUUGUAGAAGAUCAACUGCAAAUGAGAGACGAGGAUGAUAGCACUGUAAAAGAAAAGUCAGAGAUUGUGCCGGUAUAUGUGGAAAAUAAUCCAGAAGAUUCAGAUUCUUCUGAAGCAGCACCAGAACACGAAGAACAGGAACUAGUCGAGUCUGAGGCUCCAGAAGUUUGUCGGUCAACUCGUGAGAGACGACCGCCAACGUGGCGCUCGGAGUAUGUUAUAAAGAUCAAUGUUGCGUACUAUCUUCUAACUGAGGAUGGAGAGCCAUCAACUUUCCAUGAAGCUUUAAACAGCUCAGAUGUUACUUUAUGGAUGACAGCAAUGCAGGAAGAAAUUGAAACUCUACACAAGAACAAGACAUGAGAACUUGUACCACUACCACACGGAAGAAAAGCCAUUGGUAACAAAUGGGUCUAUAAGAUCAAACGUGAUGGCAAUAACUAAGUGGAGCGAUAUCGUACAAGACUGGUGGUGAAAGGAUAUGCUCAGAAAGAAGGUAUUGACUUCAAUGAGAUAUUUUCUCUGGUAGUUCGACUCACAACAAUCAGAAUUGUCUUGGCAAUGUGUGCUACAUUUGACCUACAUCUAGAGCAGUUAGAUGUGAAAACUGCAUUUCUUCAUGGAGAGCUUGAAGGGGAAAUUUAUAUGCUUCAACCAGAAGGUUUUGCAGAAACAGGAAAUGAGAACUUAGUUUGCAGAUUGAACAAAUCUCUAUACGGUCUCAAACAGGCGCCGAUGUGUUGGUAUAAGAGAUUUGAUUCCUUCAUCAUGAGCCUUGGAUACAACAGACUUAGUUCAGACCAUUGUACAUAUUACAAAAGGUUUGAAGAUAAUGAUUUCAUUUUUUUGCUGUUGUAUGUGGAUGAUAUGUUUGUAGCAGGCCCCAACAAAGAUCGAAUCCAAGAAUUAAAGGCACAGUUGGCUAGGGAGUUUGAAAUGAAGGACUUGGGAUAGUAAACAAGAUUCUAGGGAUGCAAAUUCAUCGAGACAGAAAUAACAAGAAGAUUUGGGUUUCUCAGAAGAACUACUUGAAGAAAAUCUUGUGGCGCUUCAACAUGCAAGAUUGUAAGUCAAUUUCUACCCCACUUCCUGUUAAUUUCAAAUUAUCCUCAAGUAUGUGUCAUAGCAAUGAAGCAGAGAUGAAUGAAAUGUCUCGAGUACCGUAUGCAUCAGCAAUGAGAAGUUUGAUGUUCGUUAUGAUAUGUACUAGACCGGACAUUGCACAAGCAGUGGGAGCAGUCAGUCGAUACAUGGCGAAUCCCGGUGGAGAGCAUUGGAUAGUUGUAAAGAGGAUUCUGAGAUACAUCAGAGGAACAUCAGAUGUUGCAUUAUGUUAUGGAGGAUCAGAGUUUACUGUCAGGGGCUAUGUAGAUUCAGAUUUUGCAGGAGACCUUGAUAAAAGGAAAUCCACUACUGGCUAUGUGUUUACACUUGUAGGAGGAGCUGUAAGCUGGGUUUCAAAACUGCAAACUGUUGUGGCCCUAUCUACAACAGAAGCAGAAUACAUGGCAACUAUACAAGCUUGCAAGGAAGUUAUUUGGAUACAAAGAUUAUUGGAGGAACUCGAGCACAAACAACAGAAAAUUCUUGUGUUUUGUGACAGUCAGAGUGCCUUGCACAUUGCAAGGAAUCCAGCCUUUCACUCUAGGACAAAGCACAUAGGAGUUCAGUAUCACUUCGUUCGAGAAGUAGUGGAAGACGGAAGUGUGGAUUUACAGAAAAUCCAUAUGAAGGAGAACCUAACAGAUGUUUUGACCAAGCCAAUCAAUACUGACAAGUUUUUCUGGAGUAGAUCCUCUUGUGGCCUAGCAGAAACAUAGGCAACAUAAUUAUGGCGAAGCAGAAAGGAUGAUGUGGAGAUUGAUUGAUUCCCAAUCUAAUCUCCAAGUGGGAGAAUGUCAAUGCCCCACCAAAAAGGGCAAAGGAAAAUGAAGAAAGAAGACAAAAGAGGAAGAAGAAAAAAAAUUGAGAGGAAAAGAUAUCAAGGGUAGGCACCAAAUGUUUGAAAAAGAAAAAGAAAAAUUCAAAGCUCAAAAUUUCAAAGUUUGAAAACUUGAAAUUUGCAGCUGUAUUGCUUGAAGAUUAAAGCCACCUUUUUUACUUUCUUGGCCAUCAUUUUGCUAUAAAUAGAAGUCCAAAUGAAGAGCUGAAGCAUUCCAUCGAGAGAGAAGCAUUUCCUUCCUUUAGAGUUGAAAGUAUUAAAGAGUUUAAUAAACUCUUGAGUGAUUAGUGUUCUGAGAGUUUGGGUGUAUUGGGAUUUUGGGAAGUGAGCUAAAAUACUACAAUACUUGUAACUCCUUUUCACUAGUAAAAUAUUUCCUUCUGUCUUCACCCGUGGACGUAGGCUAAAAGCCGAACCACGUAAUUUCUGGUGUCCUCUUUGUGCUUGUUCUUUAUUUUUUUCCAAUUUCAUUUUAGCUGCGUGUCUGCUUCACCCAUCAAUUUCCUAACCUAAGAGGUAUAUAUAGGGGUGCUAAUAGUCCCACUCUUUCCACAAUUAUCAUUACCCUUGAAUAUUUCUCCAACAUUUUAUUUCAUAUUUGACUUUUGCUACUAAUACCAUAACAAAAGACGCUUUUUGAACUACAUCAGUUUCUAGUUGCAUUUUAUUGAUAAAUUAGCCAAACGCACCAUCAGUUAUUUAAUUUAUGGUUGAAAUAGUUCAUGAGCAGUUGAAAUAAUUUUUUUUUGGGUAGAUAAUCUCAAUUUUAAAAUAGUUUAAAAGAUUUUCAAACAUAAGAUACAAUAGUAUACAACUGAUGCCUAAUCCAGUAUAGAAAAUCAAAUAAAAUUUAUUUUCUUCACUGAUGUUGAGGUAGCAUUUAUUUUUUCAUCUAAAAUCUGAAUAAGUUUAAAUUUGUCUAGAGUCUGCAUGGAUCUGAAUAUAAAUGUCUAAAUAACAUGUUUAUUUUUUAAAUAUCUAUAAAGGAAGUGGCAUCUUAUUUGUUUUUAUAAUAAAAAACAUGUUAAACAAUGUUAUUUGACAUUUAUAUCCUUAUAAAUCAAAACGAACAAGGGGAUUAUAUUUUACAAUUUAGGAAAUAACUAUAUUUAAUAAAGAUAAUUUUGGGAUAUAGUAUUUACUUUCUAUUGUGACAUUUUCAUAUAUUAGAUAAAAGUUACAAAAGUUUAUUUUUAAAAAAUAGACUUCACACAUUUAACAAACAACCCGAAUGAAUAUGAAUAAGAAUUAUUAAAGCAAAAAUGAUAAAUAAGGAUAAUUUUAAAAUUAAAUGCAAUUAAUUGAGAGAUUAUGACUGAUAAGAAAAAUUGGGGGGCAAAAAUUAAAAUAUCAACCUACUACUCAUGGUUGAUAGUCAUGACCCACUCAAUUUGAGAAUUAAAAGCACAAAAGCCAUGUGCUGAAAACUAUGGUGUUCAUGGGGAAAUUUCAGCUAAAAGUCUAAAAAGCAGUGAAAUUAUCUUACUCACGAAAACUUCCAAGGAGGAGUGCCAAUAGUCUUACUCAUAAUGCCGUGUCUAACUCAUAACAUACAGUAGGAGUUCUACGAAAGUAACGGAAGAGUGCCAAAAGUCUUAACUCUCAUAACGCCGUGUCUAUAAUUUCAAUUGAAAAAAUCUGCCAAGUCGAAAAAUUAGGUGGGCAUUUCAAUAACCCUUGAAUAUUCCAUGAAUCAUUGUCCAGGAAGCUUGGAAAAUGAGAUAUCAGGUCAAUAUAUGCAGCAGAGUCACACUCAUUUUGGCUUUUUAAUUGUUUUCAUCUGAUCACAAUCUCUCUCUAAUCAAUUCAACUGCUUCUGUUGAUUAUGGCUUCUUUUUCUCGAAACAACAAGAAGUAUGAUGUUUUUGUUAGUUUCAGAGGAGAAGACACCCGCGACAACUUUACUAGCCAUCUCUAUUCAGCCCUGUCUCGAAAAAAUAUAUCCAAACUUUCAUUGAUGACCAGCUCAACAGAGGAGAUGAAAUUUCACGGUCUCUUGUGAACGAAUUGAAGCAUCAGCCAUUUCAGUUAUCAUUUUCUCUGAAUCAUACGCCUCUUCCAGAUGGUGUCUUGAUGAACUUGCGGAGAUCCUCGAGUGCAAGAAGGAGUACGCACAGAUUGUGUUACCGGUUUUCUAUCGCGUCGAUCCAUCAGACGUGAGAAACCAAACAGGGAGUUUUGGGGAUUCAUUUUCAAAGCUUGAAGAAAGAUUUGAGCAAAAUUCAGAGAAGCUGCAGACUUGGAGGAAGGGAUUGAGAGAAGCGGGCGGUUUGUCUGGAUUUCAUUAUCGUAGCAUCAGGCGAAAAGUUACUUUUAAUUUCUCAUGCUACUAUUUAACACUGUAAAUAAAAUUCACGCAGCACUAUUAGUUAAAUUUCCGGAUGCUUAACUACAAUUUUAAAUUUUCUUAGGUAUCAAAUUCUAGGCUUCUUGACUUCCCCACUUUUGAACCCCGAUAAUUAUGAAAGAAUUUUGAUAGAAUUAAAAGUAAAAGCCCGAGAAUUUUACUAUACAUUUAACAAAAUUAAUGGUGGUCUGUCGUUUUUUAAGCAAUUUCAAUCUCUCACAUACCUCCAUCAGAAAAAAAAAAAAAAAAAAACUCACACAUAUUCCUGUAAGUUAAGAAUUAUUAAUUUAUAGGGAGAUUGUAGUGGUAUAUAUUAAUUUCAAUUGGAAAACUAGCAAUCUCCCUUAUUUCAUAUUUGAUGCAAAUCUCUCCUAUUUGAAGUCACUGCUGCUAAUAUUAUGUACUUGGUAGGCCUGAAUCAGGACUUAUAAACGAAGUUGCAAGAUAACAAAAACCAGCUGGUUGGCGUUGAAUCAAUAGUUGAGGAAAUUGAAUCUCUACUAGCUGUUGAGUCGAAAGAUGUUUAUUGUUUAGGGAUUUGGGGCAUUGGUGGUAUAGGCAAAACAACAAUCGCUAGAGCAAUUUUCGACAAAAUCUCUAGUGAUUUCGAAGGUUCUUGCUUCCUUGAAAAUGUUAUAGAAGAGUCACAAGACCGGGAGGGUUAGCUUGCCUGCGACAAAAACUUAUUUCAAAUUUAUUGAAGGAUAAAACUGUGAUUCCUGAUAUUGACCCCAAUUUUAGAAGGGUCAGCCGCAUGAAAGUUCUGAUUGUUUUUGAUGAUGUGUCUUGCUUCAGCCAAUUAGAAUCCUUAAUCGAAAGUCUUGAUUGGUUGACGCCUGUGUGUAGAAUCAUAACCACCAGAAAUAAACAAGUGCUUAGAAAUUGGGGGGUGAGGAAAAUAUAUGAGAGGGAGGCAUUAGAAUAUCAUCACGCUCUUGAGCUUUUUAUUCGACAUGCCUUCAAACAAAACCAUCCUGAUGUUGGUUACUAGGAACUUUCAAGCAAGGCAGUGAAAUAUGCUCAAGGUGUUCCUUUAGCUCUUAAAGUUUUGGGUUGCUUUCUAUAUAAAAUGGAAAAAGAAGUCUGGGAUAGUGCAAUAAAUAAAUUGCAAAGAAUCCUCCAUCCAAGUAUCCUGCAGGUAUUAAAAAUAAGUUACGAUGGUUUGGACGAUAAGGAGAAAAAUAUUUUCAUUGAUGUUGCUUGUUUCUUUCAAGGUGAGGAUGUAAAUCCAGUAAUGAAAUUCCUUAAUGCAAGUGGCUUCUACCCAGAAAUAGGAAUAAGUGUUCUCGUUGAUAAGUCUCUUAUUGUCAUAUCAAAUAACAACAAGAUAACUAUGCAUGAUUUGCUACAAGAAUUGGGUAGGGAUAUUGUUAGUCAAGAAUCAAUUGAUCCUGGAAACCGCAGUCGGCUAUGGCAUCAUGAGGAUAUCUACAAAGUUCUUACGUAUAAUACGGUAAGCAAUUUGCUGUGGGUUAUUACUUUGGAAUAUUCUAGCAUUUACAAACUUGAUAUGGAUAUAUUUAUAUACUCUCGAAUUGAUGAAUCUAGAAUUAAUAGCAGAGUGACAAUGAUUAGAAAAAACAAUAGUGGUUAUAAAUCCCGCGACAACUUGUAUAAUUCUUUGUAAGAAUAGUUUAUUUGUCAAUUUGUAUUGUAUUCCACAUGCGUAAAUUUCAUGUUUAGUAUUACUUGUAUUGCUAUGUUCCUUUGUGCGUUUGCAAUUAAGAGUUUCACUGCCUAGCAAUAACUAUAUAAACAUGAAUUACUGAAAUUUGAUUCGAGCAAUGAUAAAGAACUCCACUCCAAUCCAACCUUAAUUCCACACAAGAGUAAAAAAAAAGUUGAAUUAAUAACUAAGUUACCCCUAGUUGUGAAUCAAUGCCAAACAUGGCCUAAAAAUUUGUCUUGGUGGGGUUGAGGUGCAAUUCAUUGGUGGGAUGUAAAUAUCAUUUUUAAUUUUUUUAUGCAUUAUUAAGGGACCGAUAAAGUUGAGGGCAUCUGUUUGAAUAUGUCCAAAGUGAAAGAGAUCCAUCUAAAUGCCAAUACAUUCACAAAGAUGCGGAAAUUGAGAUUUUGAAAAUUCUAUAGCUCAUCAUUCAACGGAGAGAACAAAUGUAAGGUGUCUUAUUUGGAAGACCCUAGAUUUACUGAAGUGAAGUAUCUCCACUGGCAUGGAUAUCCAUUGAAGUCAAUGCCUUCAAACAUUUGUGUAGAGAAGCUUGUGUUUCUUGAAGUGCCUAAUAGCAGCAUUGAACAACUUUGGGAUGGUAUGAAGGUAGGUAUAACUUAAUACUUUAUGUGUGCAAUCUUUCAAUAAUAACGUUAAGUUAUCAUACGUGGUACUGAUUCCUCUUGACCUCUUUUUUGACCAAGCAGCAUCGUGGUAAGUUAAACCAGAUAAUCCAUGCUACCUGCAAGAUGCUAAUUGCCAAAACUCCAUACCCCGCGUUGAUUCCACAUCUAAACAAGCUAGUUAUCUUGAAUCUAAGAGGUAGCAAAAGCCUGAAAAGUUUUCCAGCUGAAAUAUUUAAUUUGGAAUUUCUUACCCCACUUGAUCUUUCGGGGUGCUCAAAACUUAAGAGGCUUCCAGAGAUCUCAUCUAGUAAUAUAAGCUGCCUUUUUUUUAAGUGGAACUGCAAUUGAAGAACUGCCUUCAUCAAUUGAGCUUCUACUUAGGCUGGGGUACUUGGACCUUUCAGACUGUAAAAGGCUUAAGAGUCUCCCAAGCAGCCUAUGUAAGUUGAAAUCUCUUGAAAUUCUUGAUCUCAGUGGUCGCUCAAAUCUUCAGAGAUUGCCCGAAUGUCUUGGCCAGUUGGCCUCUCUAGGAACAUUGCUCCUAGAGAAAACCAAUAUUGAGAGAAUACCAGAAAGCAUCAUCCAAAUUUCUGUGUUGACUUACCUCCACUUAAGCUAUUGUGAGAGGCUUCAAUCCUUACCAAAGCUUCCAUCCCCUUACAAUGGUUAGAUGCCGAUAAUUGCACAUUGCUGCAAUCAUUAUCAGGUUUAUUCCCAAGUUCUGAAUUUUUUAUAUAAGCAGUGUUUUCUGACUAGAGCAAUAAUUUUAAAUCGGAUGGUAAUUCUACUGCAGGAAUUGUUGAGGAUGCCCUGCAGAGAAUUCAGCUUAUGGCAGCUGCCCAUUGGAAAGAAGGACAGGAAAAGGUGUGUUUUUAACUCUCUUCUUUCAAUAUAUAUAUAUAUAUAUAUAUAUAUAUUUGAGUUAUGAUUUUUUUUUUUUUAACGGAUUGAUUUUCACAUGAACGGAGGUCAUAUCUUACUACUCGGGAAUGAAAUUCCGAAGUGGUUUGAGUUUCAAAGUGUGGGAUCUUUUAUAACCUUGGAGAUGCCACCAGAUUCCUUCAAUAAUAACCGAGUAUUACUGGGCUUUGCAUUUAAUGCUAUUGUAGCAUUUUCAGACCGUCAUGUAGAUAAUGACAGAUGGUUUUCAUUUUCUUGUGAAUUCAAAGUGAAAACCGAAGAUUGUGAUCCGCAAGUCACACGAAGAUUUCUAAAGCGCCUUGCUUACGUAGAAUCAGAUCACUUACUUUUGAGGUGCGAUUUUUUCACUGAGGAGGAUUUCAAUGGUUUUUUGAAAAUAUAAGGUGUGUUUGGAAGUGAGGUGCUGUACCUUUUAAAGUGCAGUUGCUGUGGAAUAAAAGAUACAGCUGUGAAAGAAAAGUUUCAGAAAAAAAAAUUGACUAAGCUACCAAAGCUCAGGUACAAGUGUUACCAAACACUUUAGUAGCUGGGUUUUGACAGUUCAGCUACCUCACCACACUCCCAAACGGGCUAAUAAUUGCGUUCCUGAGGUAGUCGGCUUCUUUUUUGAUGAUUUUGAUCAUUUUCCACCUUUGGAGUGCGAGUGCCACGGGGUGAAAAAAUGUGGGGUCCAUUUACUUUACAUCCCAGAUUCUUCGGAUUCAAUGGAAGUUCCAAGCAGAUGUUUCAACUGUUACGAAGAAGACUAAGAUUUUCAAGAAUGUAAUUUUAUUUUUUCUCUUUUGCUAAUCACUAUUAAUAAUAGGAGAAAAAGCCAAGAUCAGUCUCGGAACAAAACAUGCAUGUAAUAACUUUCGAGGGACGUGGUGCAUGUAAUACAAAUUCACACUAGAGUAUUGGACUAUACCCUUAUUAGAUGAAGGGUAUAAAUUACCGGCCUUCUUUUCCUGCAGAUUUAAUCCCUUUUUUUCCCUUUUUUAUUUUUCAAAUGCCAGUGUUUUAUUCAUGAUAUUUAUGAAUUUUUAUCCAUGAUUUUUUAAUUUUAAUUUUAUUGAUUGAAUGAAGUUUCCUAGACACAUGCCCUCAAGCCUUAAGCGAAUGUAUAUAUUGCAAUAAGGCGUACAUAGGAAUUUUGAUCAGGUGCAUAUAAGAAUUUUGAUUAGGUGCGCGGCAGGACAUGCAACGAUUUCUUAUUAGCGCAGCUGUGUUGUGGGCCCCACAGCUCUGCCUACCACACCACUUGCGCACUAUAUCAACCCUCGUGUGUAUAACAGUCACAUUUGAAAAUUUUCUACUUUCGUAAAUCUGAAAACUUUCCAUCAUGUGGAAGCAAAAGCCAUAGAGAGGCGACAGCGAAAACACCAUCAAAUCUUAUAUAUUUUAAAAAAUAUAUUUGUAUAUUGAUUGAAAAAAGAAUAGGAUAGGUGUCAUUUUCACUCAACUCAUUUGUGCUGUGAAUCCAUUCGCUUAAACAUGUAUGCACUUUCUCAAGUGCCUAUACCAAUUCCAUGUUUGGAGUGGUGCAUUUGAUUCCAUAGUUGAUGUGGUAUCGUCUAUGGCUAUAAUUUAUAUCCACAAAACUGACUUGUAAGGAAAGGAUUGAAGAUGCCUGUGAACUUAUAUUUCUAUUUAGAUUAUUGUAUCUUUUUCAUGUAUAAAAUUGGAUCUUAUCAUUCUCAUAUCAUUAACAUUAGUGGAGAAUGUUAAUACCUCAACCAGUGUUUCAUCCACAGAUUUCUUAUUUGCAAAGAUGGACAGUAAAAUGUUCCUCAGUGUUUCCCUGCAGCACCAAUAUAUACACAUCAUAGAGUUUUUUAAUUUUUGACUCUAGUGUUUUAGGAUAACGAAAAAUGGACUGAAUAGAGAGAAGAGAAAAUACCUUCGUUUCACAUCUUCAAAGAUUGCAUCUGCAAUUGGCCUUUGCUUCAACAAAGGAUCAAUCAACCAAAGCAAUGGAAACAAUAGCUUGAUUCUCCAAUCGUCAACAAUGCCUUGUAGUUUAUGCCGCCAGCAUAAUUCAACAGAACAAGCCCUCUAACAAGUAUUUGUAUGUAAGUACGAUCAUUCAUUCUCAAUCAACCACCAAACUGAUGUCAACAAAGCCAUGAAGAUUGUCUCACAAGUCUUUCAUUUUCCCUCUCUUUUGGCCGAAGACCAGUAAACCAUUUGAAAUAUGGAUGUGCAAACCAGUAAAUAAAUCAUGAAGUUACACACUAGUCUGCUUUCGCACUCAUUCAGAACUAUCAAUGAUACUUACUGCAGGUACAGUGUAUACAUUAUACUAAAGUGAAGGCUGGAUCAAUAAGAAAUUCAAAAUGUUUCAUCACAUUUGGGGCUUGAUGAUGCCAAAGAAAGACCAUACCAAUUAUGACGAACAGUAAAAUGUGAACAAGAACAAGCAUACAUUUAAGAAAGCAUAGAAGCAUCAUUAAAAUAAAGCAUUCUUCUCACUAUUCUAUGUUGUUGGAAAUGGACCAAAAUAAAAAAGAAACCAUAUAUGGAACGUCACAACAAGAAUAUUUGUGCAUUUGUACAUUAUAGGAUAUUGGGAAGACAUCAGCAGAAAAGUGCAAUUUUUUUUUUUUUUUUUUGGGGAAAGGAACAGAGAAGUGCAAGUCAAAAAGGAGAAAAAACGGAAACAGAGAGAUGAAAAGGAAUGCAAUCUAAUUAAUCGUCUAAGGAGGCUACUAUGCUACAUUUAGCCAUUGGUUGAAUAGGCAGCCUGUCUUCUAGUACAACUUUAAAUUUACCAAGAUUGAGAAUUUUCCUUCUGAAGAAAAGUAAUUUCUGUAGCAGCUCCAUACUAAGGAAAGAGUGAAAUAGGUGUGCUUUACUUAUAGAAGCCCGUUCCUGUCCAGAGUGAUUAGUAAGUUGUUUCACCAUGACCCCCGUUAUGGUGACUGGAAAAAGAAAAAAAAAUAUUUGCCCAACACAGAAGUAGCACCCAAAGAGUCCUACUUAAGAGGCUUCAUACCCUGCACAAAUUGGAAAGUUUUGAAAAUUUUCAUGUUCCAAAUGAAGAUUGCCCAUUAAAAAAUUACACACAUAAUGUAUGUAAAGCAAUUAAAACAGAAAAACAAGGUUAACCCAGAAACAAUCCAACCAUCAAUAACAUAAAACUUUUGUAAUUCUGGUAAAGUGAAUGAGAAGCAGAACAUACAUUUCACUUAAUAAUGAAGAUACAUCUUUUAAUCAGUUUUUGCUCUUGCUUUAUUCUUGUACUUCCUUCCAAUAACAAUUCAUAAUGCAGGUAGGUAUCUUAAAAAGUUAUAUCAUACAUUUCUCUUAUCAAUGGAGCAGGUUGCUAUUAAACAUUAUUCAUAAACAAAGAGCCAAAUAUGCUUUAAAGCUACUUGCAAAUAUGCCAUCAGGCAUUGACGCAGACACUCAACAACAAAAAACAGACUUAUCGGCACUUAACAACACAAAAGUAAAAAAGAAAAUACUCUUACUCAAGCAUUAUAUUUGUUGCACAAAUAAGAAAGAAGAUAACAAUUUUAAAUUAACCAACAGGUUGAGACUUAUCGUAAUACACACUAUCAGCUAUGAAUUAGCAUACCUUAGAAGUCCUCAACUCAUUCACCGCUAUUCGAAGAGAAUCAUCCGAUAGAAUCAACCGUGACAACACUCCAGUGCUUAACCUGCAACAUUUAUAAAAGAUCACCAUAUGAGAGAAAUUUUAAAUUUAAAAAAAUUUGGAAACCUAACCGCCAAUCAAACACAUUAAAUAUAGCAAUUUCUCUUUUUAAGGUUCAAUUAUCACUUGAUAGAGUAUUAAGCUUAAUGCAAUACCCCAAUAAUUUUGCUGCUUCUGAUACAGAUCCCUCGACUGCGAAAAUUAGAUCAA
rnacentral:lncRNA from 1 species